rnacentral:lncRNA from 1 species
CAACAGCAGGCUGAAGCUCCUUCACAGAGAGCUGACCAUCUCUGUCUCUGUCAAGUUCUUGGAACUUAUGAUCAACAAAGCUGCUAAACACCUCCUCAUUUCCAACCAACUUCAUUAUAUUUGAACCGUCCAGCACUUGCUGCUGCUGCUGCUGCUGCUUCAUCGAGCUUGUACUUUCAGCUGUCUCCAUUAAUCUUCUUGUGAUGAUUCUCGUGAAACUGGGGUUUUAGGUUUGUGGAUUUGCUUUUGCCUUUGCCUUUUGUUUUGUUGAGAGUCUCGUGAAUCACAAGAGUUGCCUUUGGUAUUGGGCGAGUCCCUCCCGUUGCCUUCUUCUUCCCCGGCGUCUAAUUAACUCUUUUGGCUCACUUUUAUAUGAAAAAAAAGGGAGAGCCGUAGUCGUUAGAUUAUGUAUGUUUUUAGAAACUAAAGUGUGGGGCCUGUUUGGUUUGGUUUCAUUUAAUUUAGUAUUAUUUUCAACGUGCAUUACUCUCUCUUUCUUUUACUAUAAUAAUAUUACACUUAUUUAAAAGGAAAGUUAAUAUAUAUUUUAACUAAUAUAAUAAAUAAUGUAUCAUUGUGUAAUUAAUUUAAGUGAUAAAUAAUUACCGAGUCUUGUUAUUUUUAACUCAAAUAAUAAAUUUUAAUUGUCAAUACAUAAGUUAAAAUAAAAAUUAAAUAUCAUAACUAAAUAAACAUAGCAUCACUCUUUCUUUUAAAUUAUGAUAUACUAUAUUUACUUGUAGCAUCAAUAAACAUAGCUAAUAAUUAAUAAUAAAAUUAAUUAAUACCCUUAAAUAAUUUGUGAUACAUCAAUAAAUAUCUCAAUUAAAUAUUUAAAUUAAAUAAGCAUAACAUGUUAUUGAUCCAUUAACAUAUUUUAUUUUCUUUGUUUCAUUGUGACAAGCACUUCGAAAAAUGAGGCCAAACACGUCCUUAGAAACAGAGAGAGAUAAGGACAGAGCUUGGUGACCACACAAAUCUAUGUGUGGUCAGGACACGUGGGACGGUUUGAGGGCCUCCUGUAAAAGAGGUUAGAUCGUAGAGGUAGGAUGAGACGAGAAGAGAUGAGACCAGCAGAGGCCGGGUGAUUUGAGUCUGCUUUUCACUUUUGGUCGGCCCGUAUCUGCAUGCCGCGUGGACUUUACAGCGCAGGCUCAGUCAGUUCCCAGCUCGUACUGACCGUUGACUCUUCGUUACGUGGCAAUCAUCCAAUAAAAGUUUGUGGCUGGUCUGUAUUGCCUGGUACGCACCCGAUUUUUGAUUUUGUCGAUUUCAGUACAUGCUCUUUUUAAUCUGCUGUAGUCAAUUCGAGGCUGCAAAUCAGGCCAAUGUGAGAAUAACACGUUGGCAAAGUGAUAGGGAUAGCGGGAAAAAUAGAAUUUAUUUUUAAUAAUUUCAAAUAGACACAUGCAGUCGAGUUAAUUUAAGGCAACUUGUGUUUUAAAUCUUAAAUGCGGUUGUUUACUUUUUAUUCCUGAGCUUAUGUUAAAAAAUAGCAUCCUUUUUUGUUCCUGAACUUAUGUUAAUGAAGCGAGACUGGAACAUCACCAUAAAUCAUGUGUAUCCUGAAGCAAAUUUUACUAUAGAUUUCUUAGCUAAUUAUGCCCCAGUCUCUAUCAUUGGGAUGUCACAAUUUUAAAUUUUUAAUGACCCCUUACUAAUUUGCUCUCUUUUCUCACACAUGAUAUGUAUGAGGUUGUUUAUCAUACUUUAUCCGUCCUUAUCUCUUGUUAAGAGUUCUAUGGUACUAAAAAAAAAAAAUCUUUUUAACAUGUCAUCAGUUGAGUUUUUUUCUAUACCUGAAUUUUUUGUUAUUGGAAGGGUUCGCAUGCUUGAAUAUAGUAUUUUUUUUAAAUAAAUAGGGUAUUUAUAUUUUAAAAAUUACGUCGAAUACUUUUAUUUAAAUAAAAUAAUUUAUUUCAAAAAUUCUCAUCACAUGAAUUAAUGUUAUGAACAAAUGAAUAAUUUAUUAUAACUAAUGUAAUAAUGAUUUAUAAUUCUCAUACUUAAAACUUCUGGUUCAUAAUAAUAAUUAAAUUUGUGUUCAAGUUUAUUUAUUAGUGUUGAUGUUUGUCCCGGGUCAAACCCCGAAAAUAACUUAAACGGCGUCGUUUUGAUGUUUUUUUUGGCCUUUUUGCUACUCCAAAAUACUUCUCGGCUUCCUCGGUUGUAUCUUCUUUUAAGCAUGCACGCAUCAUUACCCUUAUUAUCCCUGAACCAACACCCAAACCUUUUAGGUUCAUCUUAUUAUAAAACUCCUUUGCUUCAUCAAUAAAAUUUCUCCAAACUAAUGCCUUCAAAACUGAAUUCAUACUUCGCAGCAACAGAAUUAUAUCGUGCUCUAUCAUCCCAUUACAACACUCUACAGCGUCAUUUAUUCUAUCAGCUCGAACAUAGCUACGCAGCAAGUAACUGAAAACCCCAGAAUCCAAAUCAAAAUCAAACCUUUUCGCACUUUCAAUCAAGUGAUCAAUAAUAGCAGCCGAUGUGGGUUCUGAACCGCCUGAAACAUAGUGAUUAAGCAAAUUCCGAGCAUAUCGAUGAGACUCACGGUCUUUCAUCAAAAUGUGAAGCAGAACGCAAAAUGUAUCAAGGCUUUUGAGGAAGCCUCGCCGCCUUUCGACCCGUUUGAAGUACUCGAAAGCUGAAACUGGCUCGUUUCUGCAGCUUAGAAGAGAGUUUAUCACACUGGUCUGUGAUAAAUCAGUGGGCUGAAAAGUAUUGGAUUCUGGGAAAAUUGGGUUUCCGGAAAAAUGGGAACCUUUGGUGAUUUUCUCGGGAAAAUUCUUGGAAACUGGAGAUUAUGAUGAGAUGGGCUUUUCGGAGGACUGUGGUUGUGAGCAUAUUGAUUUAGUGUUUUUGAAAUGUCGGAUUAUAAAUGGUCGGAUUGGUGAAGAAGUAAGCGAAGAUCUCAUCCUCUUUUUUUUUUUAAUGCUUACAGCUGCUGGUUACAAUUAAAUCAUAAAACCCUCAUGUUCAUGUAACAUGAUUAGUUAGAUGGAAAGAGACGAACUUGUAGCGGCAUGGGCUGGGCUCAUACAGAUUUCGGCCCUCAUUGUUUUCAUUAAGCAACUUGCUCUUCUCUCUGUUGCUUUCCCAGGUGAAACGAAGAAACGAAAACGAAGAGGAAGAGAUUUUAUUAUUCUAAAAUUGUCAUCAGAAAGGUAAUGUUUUGGAGUAGCAAAAAAGAAAAAAAAAAAAAAAUCAAAACGAUGUCGUUUAAGUUAUUUUCGGGGUUUGACCCGGGGCAAACAUCAUUUUCCUUUAUUUAUUUACUUAAUCUUACAAUUUUACACAAUUGUCUCUUGAUUCAAGCGAAUGAAAACGAGAUGAGUAAACUUUGUUGCUGAAGAGUUGCAAGAUGCAACAGUUUAAAGGAAAAUAAACCAAAUGCGCGGGAAAAACAUCCGUAGCAGAAGCCAUUUGAUUUGUUUAACACAAUAAUAUCAUAACACAGAACAGAUACGAUUCCAAGAUAUUCAAAUUGUGUUAAAAAGAAUUUAUUUACAAAUUAACUAAAAUGAUUUAAUUAGUAAGGAUUUUUUUAGAUAUUUUAAAAAGUGUAUAAAGUAAAACUUAAAGCUUGUUUUUUAAAUGUAUGAAGUCAUACAUUUUUUAAGUUUACUAGUUUGUUUUUCAUAUUUUAUCUAAAUUCCAGAAUAUACCACUUAAUAGAAAAAGUUAAAUAACUUGAUUUUUAUCUGAAUUAAAAAAAAGUUUGAACGAAAAUCAAUACAAUAUCUCAAAAAUACCCCUAUUUAAUACGCUUAUUUCCAAUCAAACAUAACUAAUUUUUAUUUUACUCUUUCCAAUUGCCGUUACGUCGUGUACUCCUCUCAGGCUCUUUUUUUAUAACGACUAUUUUUUUAUAACAAUCAUUUUGAACAAAACUUUUAACAAAAAUUAAUGGGCUAGGAUGUAGCUGUUGUUUUUAUUCCUUAAUUAUUUUAAUUUUUACAAUUAAUAAUAUAUGUAAAAUGCUAUUUUACUUGAAGUUGUUAAUUGAUUCUAUGUCAACUUGUGUGAUUAAACGAAAAAAAAAAUCAUAUCAUACACACAAAUAAUGUAAUUAACAUUGUACCUUUUUUAGCUGUAACAUUGUAUAUAUUGAAUAAAAUAGAUAUUUUAUAAUUAAUAAUAAAAUGAUUUUAAUUUACUUACCAUCUUUAACUUAUCAAAUAUAUAUUAAUACUUAUAGGGACAUAAAUGUCAAAAUAUCAUAAUUCAGUUUUUUUUUUUGGCUUAUAAGACAAAUAAUUUAACACUUAUAUUUAGUCAUAAAAAAACAAACAUGUCCUCGAGCAUAUACAUUCAGAGCUAUUUAGACUUUCAUUUAAUUAAGAUCUAUUUAAAUUAAAAAAGUAAAAAAAAAAAUCUUAAUUUUUAAAAUUAAGUGAAUGGUUGUAUGAAAUAAUAAAUGUUCAGAAUAAUUUUUACAGUGUAAAUAAUUUAAUCCUUUAAAAAUUGAGCAUUUGACUGGUUGCUUCCACUAUAGAUGGUAAAAUCAAUUAGAUUGAACUUUAAGAUAACUCGUCAUUUAUUUAAUAGAUUAUGAUUUUCUUUAGAUUUGAGCUGUUUCUUCAUGUGAGUGAUUAGUAGUUUAGUAGAUAACAAUAUAAAAUGUUGUUCAAUUACCUGAUCAGAGUGAGACAGUGAAGCUGAGUGAAAACAGAAGUACUGCAAAAUCUCAAAAAACCUUGCUUGCCCAUAAAUGGCAGCCUUCUCCCAAAACAGAAGACUUAUGUCCCUUGCCUUAAUUCUCAGCUUUAACAAAUUAAGAUCAAUUUCUUUCGCAUGUUUUGCAACAUAAGGCCGCAAUAAAACAUUAUAAACAUAAUCUGUCCCCUGAAGAUAUUAAAAGCUGAAACUUUUUAAAUAAUUUCAAUCAGAAAUUUUACAGAGUACUGAAAAAGAUGAUGAAUUAAUGCAGAUUUAUUACUUUUGUUUUGGGAUACCAAAGAUAUAUGAAGAAUCUCAACUUAGCUUCACUGUACAUCGGUAACCUUCAAGUUAAUACGCAAUACUGUCACGUGACGUUGUACUAAUAGUUUUGUUAUUCAUAAAAAUACACAUACCAUGAAAUAAAGGUAUCGCCCACCCUCUCACCAACUGUGAAAACAGCGACCAAAACCCUAUAAUUACAAUACAACGAAUGCAAUUUUUUAUUAUUACAAGCAAAAGGAUGCCUAGGUUCGGACGUCGUGAUUUUACAAAAUCAAGAAUUAGAAUCAGGUGCUGUAUAACUCUGAUUCUAAUAAUUUGAAUUUAUUAAAUCCAAGCAUCCAGACAUGAAUAUGACUCGUUAUAUGUAAGGGAUUAAUUAGUAUUGUUGCAAAAUAAUUCUUAAUUAGUUAAUAGUGUAAGCACUGAUCCAUAGUUCCAUACCAAUAUUGGCACCAAAACAGGAGCUGUUCAGUAUCUGGCUUGUUCUUCUCUGCUGCUUUAAAGCACUCAUAUGCAGGGUAAAGCAUAACCAAAAACCAUUCUGUGAAGGGGGAAAAAAAUUGCAAUUAAUUAAUGAACCAUUAACUUAAGUUAAUAUUUCUGAUAAUUAAAGAAAAACUAAACGGAAAAUAAAAGAAAAGGGAAUUUCUGAUUAAUUGUUUGUUGCAUGCAGAAGGGGUGUUGAAAGAAAAGAUCCCAUCAUCUCUUUUUCUCGAUAGUCCCUUGAUUUUUUCACAAUAAUGCAACAAAAACAUAAUAAUAAUAGUAACAAUCAUAAUAACAACAACAACAACAACGACGACGACACAUAUACACUUGAGAUCUUUCCAUGCAAACGCAAAACCAGGACCACGUGCUAAAUUGAACAUUAUAUUUAAUAAUAAUGUUUAUUGAAAAAUUAUUUUAAUUUAGACGGGCUUAAAAUAAGUUUGCCCAUGUAAUUCUGAGAAUCAGCCGCUUUUUUUCUCUGUUUCAUUUUGAUAAAAUUACGAACAAUUAAUGUCCUGCCUUCACUGGUAAGAAUGCUUUCCGGAUGAAACUUUAUUAUAAUUUAUAUUGUUUAAUACAACAUUUGAGUUGCAAAAUAAUUGUACAAAAUAGAUACAUGAUAAAACUAAGCUGGUCACAGUGUGUAUUGACUGAUAAGGUCUAGAUUUAAACGCAAAGACAUAAGUGGCACAAAAAGCCACGAAUUAAUAUCAUCCAUGAGUUGAGUUCAAACAACAAUAUAAUAAGUUGUCUCAAACUUAUAUUAUCAACCUAAUAACUAUCUUAGUUGAUGUGAGAUAAUUUUCCUAUCACCUUCUGUUAUGUGCUAGCUGGUUGGUUUUUUUAUUUGGUUCUUAUCACGAGGUAAGAUAAUAUACACCUACUCAUGUAUGAGUUUGGCUUUGAUACCAUAUAGAGGUUUAUAAACCCAACUCAUACUUAAAAUCUACCUCAAGAUUCGAGGAUUGCUAAAAGCUUAUGUUAUAAUUAGCCCAAUAUCCAUCUUCCCUAUCAAAGGAGCCUUGUGGAGCUUACGAAAUGCUAAGAACAGUUACAUAUGCCCACAAUACCACAAUCCUCAUGGGGCUUAUCAUCAUCAUCAUCAUAGAAACUGCCAAAACCAUUAUCUGGAAUUGUUUAUUGAAGACGUUAUUUUAUAUUUAUUAGAUGAAGCUUAGACUCAAAUUAACUUUUGUUAGAGAAAAUACUUGCUUUAAAACAAGUUUUUGAUAUUAUUGCUGAAGAUAAAUUUUAACAUUUUUAAAAGUCGGUUGGAGUUGGUUUUUAGCAAUAAAACUGUUAAUAUAUAUAUAUAAUUUUAUUGAUAUAGGAUGGUUACAUAGGAUAAGCAUGGAAUUUUUUUGGGUUCAACUUAAAUUACAUGUGUCCAUUUGGGGGUAUAAUAUAUUGUUUUGAAGUUGUUGUCGAGAAAAAAUUAACACAAUACUGAUUUUUUGGAUAUGGCCCAAUAGUUUUAUUUCGUCCAUGGUUAUUUUGCAAGUUUUAGUUAUUUUCCUUUUUUUUUUUGCUUUCAGGAUUUUUAUUCUUUUUUUUUUCUAGAUAUUGAUUUGGGUGUUGUUUGCUUUGUUUUCCUUAUUUCAAUUGGUAGAAUUGUAUAUGUAAUAAUAAUUUGUGUUUUACCUAUUUUAGUAAAUUCACAUUAUUUAUGGAUAAUAUAAAAGAGGUCAUAAAACCUUAAUUUUGUUAUUCAUACUAUAUUCAAUAAGAUCCCAAUUAUUAAAAAAUUUUAUUUCUCUAUCUUUUAUGAAUCUUUACACUUAAGUUUUGGCAUUUAUCUCCAAACAGAACUUAAAAAAAAAGUUCCAAAAUUUUCCUCAAGGGGUAAUUUCCUCUCAAAUAAUAUAUAAAUUGUUGAAAGGGGUAACAUGCAAACCUUUUUGAAUCUAUUUGCAAAAUAACUGAAGUUGUUAGGUCCAUAUGAAAAUAGCACCUAGUAAAAGAACUUAUGGUGUGUUUACUUGUGGGUGUGGGGAAUAAGAAUGAAGGAGUGAGAAUGAAACAUAUGUUUACUUGGCAAAAUGUAAUUUGGGAAUAUGAAUAAAAUGUGUGGGUCCCACACAAUUUGGGAAUAAGGAAUGUGAAUCUCAUUCCCAUGGAGGUGGGUUGGGAAUGAAAAUGUGGGAAUGAGAAUGAAACAUAAAUUUACUUUUCUAUACUUAUAAUUUUUUCAUAUUUUCUAAAUUACUCUUAUUCAAAUCACAAAUAAUUUUAUUAUUUUAAAUGUCAUUAAUAAUAAUAAUUAAAUUUUACUAACUUUAUUAUUUUAGUUCUUAUUAAUUAUUACUAUUAUUUUUAUUUUUAAUAAUAUUAUCAUUAUUAACAAUAAAAAUAAUGAUAAAAAUAAUAAUUAAUAAAAAUAAUUAAUUUAUCAUUAUUAAUAAUAUUAUCCUUAUUGUUGUUAUUAUUAUUAUUAUAAUUAUUAAUUUUAUUAUUAUAAUGAUUAAAUUUUAUUAACUUUAUUAUUUUAGUUAUUAUUAAUUAUUAAAUUUUAUUAACUUUAUUAUUUUAGUUAUUAUUAAUUAUUGUUAAUAAUAAUUAAGUUUGUUGUCUUUAUAACAAACCUAGAACCGUAUAAAGGGCUGAUUAGCUAGCCCGAUUGGUGUGACUUGUACUCUGACAUUUCUUGUUCAAAUCCUUAGAUUUUCGACUUGUUCAUUAGCAUUACAUUUUCUCUGCAUCUGUUGAUCAUGUACUGUGUCUUUGAUGUUAGGAAAUUGAUGGGUGAAGCAGACACGCAGCUAAAAUGAAAUUGUAAGAAAAAAAAGAACAAGCACAAAAAGUGGACACCAGAAAUUACGUGGUUCGGCUUUUAGCCUAUGUCCACGGGCGAAAACUGAAGAAAAAUAUUUUACUAAUGAAAAGGAGUUACAAGUAUUGUAGUAUUUUAGCUCACUACCCAAAACCCCAAUACACCCAAACUCUCAAAUCACUAAACAAAAGCUUUUAUUAUUUAAGCUCUACAAAAACUCUCUGCGGGAAUUAUUUCUCACAACUCUCGACUCUCUUUACAAAAUUGGAUACAAGCUCUAAAUUGAGAGCUUGUAUUUAUAGGCAAAACUUUGCCUCAAAAGUAAAAAAGGUGGUCAUAAACUUCAAGCCAUACAGCUCAAAAAUUUUAGUUUUUCAAACUUUGAAUUUUUGAGCUUUGAAUUUUUCUUUUUCUUUUACCAAACAUUACGGCAUCUAGAACUUCAAAGCCAUGUGCCAACCAUUUUGCUUCUUCAAACCUUCUAGAUGCUGCAGCCAAAUCUUUUGACAUUCUCCCACUUGGAGAUUUGAUUGAGAAUCAAUCAAUCAAUCUCCACAUCAUCAUUUCUGCUUCGCCAUUGUCAUGUUGCCUACGUUUCUACUAGGCCACAAGAGGAUCUACUCCAGACAAACUUAUCAGUAUUUAUCGGCUUGGUGAAAACAUCUGCUAGGUUCUCCUUCGUAUGGAUUUUCUAUAAAUCCACACUUCCGUCUUCCACUAUUUCUCGAACGAAGUGAUACUGAACCCCCAUGUGCUUUGUUAUGGAAUGAAAGGCUGGGUUCCUUGCAAUAUGCAAGGCACUCUGACUGUCACAAAACACAGGAAUUUUCUGUUGUUUGUGCCCGAGCUCCUCCAAUAACCUUUAUAUCCAAAUAGCUUCCUUGCAAGCUUGUGUAGCUGCCAUGUAUUCUGCUUCUAUUGUAGAUAGAGCCACAACAGUUUGUAGUUUUGAAAUCCAGCUUACAGCUGCUCCCGCAAGUGUAAACACAUAACCAGUAGUGGAUUUCCUUUUAUCAAGGUCUCCUGCAAAAUCUGAAUCCACAUAGCCCCUGACCGUAAACUCUGAUCCUCCAUAACAUAAUGCAACAUCUGAGGUUCCUCUGAUGUAUCUCAGAAUCCUCAUCACAGCUAUCCAAUGCUCUCCACCAGGAUUUGCCAUGUAUCGACUGACUGCUCCCACUGAUUGUGCAAUGUCUGGUCUUGUACAUAUCAUAGCGAACAUCAAACUUCGUGUUGUGCAAAUUUUAUUGAACUCGCAAGUGCACGAAUCUAUUAUAGUGUAGAUCAAUGGUGACGAAUGUCGAUCCCACGAGGAGGUGGAUUUUAAUUGUGUGUAGAAUUAAUUUUGUAUGAAGGGUGGUUGGAUUUGUGGUGAAAAUGAUUUGGAUUAUCCUAAAAUUCGAAUUAAAAUGGCAAGAAUAAAUUGAGAAGAAAUCUAUUAAAUUGACGUACUUGGGUAUUUGGAUCCGUAUCAACAUGCACCAUGGGCUAAAUAUUCCUUAUUAAUACCAAUUAAAUCAUGAGGGGGGAAUCCACACCUCAUGAACCACACUCUAAUCAAUAUGGUGCUAAGGGCUUAUUGUACUAAAUAAUAAUAACCUUGUACUAGAGAGCCAGUGAAACCAAGGCGGUAUCUAGACAAGAUUAUUAUUAUUUGUCGACGAGAAGUCAAAACAUCCAUAAAAACUAGAGGGGAAGAGAAAAUAAAUUUACCAAAUAAAGCCCAUGACACAUGUUGAGACUUCACCUUUAACCGAAGCUUGAAAGAAAAUUAGCUACUCAUAAUUGAACUAGGGGCAAAAUGCGAAUUUAUUAAAAUACACAGAAAAUACAAGAUAGAGAAGGAUUUACAGAAAAUGGAGUCCAAAAAUGAAUUCAGAGAUAUCAAAUUAAGGGGGGGGGCCCCCCUUUUUAUAGAUACAUUGAGUAAAUCGUGGCCAUCGGAUUAAAAACAGUUUGGAUGCUCAGGAUUGCGCCACGUCAUUAGUCCACAGUACGCGGUUUGACCACGCGGAUGAACAGUAACACGGUUUGACCCGGGUUGAAUAGUGACGCGGUUUGGUUGAAAAUAAUCACGUGUGAUGCAUGUACCGUACGCGAGAUUUUGGUCAACUGAUAUACUUCCACGUCACCAUCAACAGUACAUAAGAAUUUUAGUCCAACAAGAUCGUGACACCUCAUCAGUCAAUGCCACAUCAUCGGUCAAUGCCACGUCAUCGAUCUGUCUAUGUGAACAGUGUCGUGAACAGUAACGUAGACAAUACCGUACACAUGAAUAGUACCGUACAUGUGAACAGUGCUAUUUUUCCUUUUAUGCUCCUCCUAAGGUUUUCGACCGUCCUGAGUUCAAAAGUGAUGUCCGUUUUGCCGUCUGAUCUCUCGUUUAUUGUGAAAUGACCAUGAUGCCCCUAAAAUACAUAAAAUACUUAAUUAAAAUAAAACACACAUAAUUAAAUUACAAGAAGCUUAAAUACAUAAAAAUAAGGGCUGUUAGUAAGACGUGAAAUGUAAAAUGACGAUUUUCUCCUUUAUAAAUAUAUAUUUUCUAACACUCAACGCACCCCCUAACCAGCUUAUUGCUAGUCCCUAGCAAAUGAAGCGAAAACAAAAUUCACCUCCAAAAUGAUUUUUUUUUAAACACUCUUGUUUAUUCAAUCAGACUAAUGAUAACAAUCAAAUAAAAGUAUAAGCAUUAUCUCAAGUCUAAAGAAACAUCACACCCACAUCAACCAUCCACAUGAAUCAGCCUAGUAGACUUUGUCAUAGCUACCUUCAAGAAUGACAUGUCAAACCCCAAAAUCUCACUGGAAGUAGUGACACUCUCACAAAGAAAUUAAACCCAAAUAAAAAUAGUCACUCCAAUGAAUGGUAAUUGAGAGAAAAAAAAAAAUGAUAUCACAUGCUCUCACCAAGAUGAAAGAAAUAUGCCCUCAGCUUAGAAAUAAUACGAUAUCAAGUCAAAUAAAAAUACUAGUCAACCCAAUUUAUUUAUUAUUAUUAUUAUUUUUUUAUGCACCACUACAUCUUUUUAGCCCAUAUAACUAGCUUCUACUUCAGACUAUAGUUCCCUAAAAUCAAGAAGGACUUUUAUUAGGACGUAACAUAGGCUAGGGACAUGGUUAACAAAGAAGGGAAAUAAGAAAAACAAAGUAUAUGUUUGAGAAAAAUGCAGAGGAAUUUUUUUUUUGGAAGUUGCAAGGUGGAUUUCACCUAUUAUUGUUAUUUUUUUUUCUUCUUCUUUUUUUUUUUUUUGAAAUAAAAAAUUUUUUUUAGCAUAACUUUACUAUACAAAAUAUUUAUUUACAUUUUUCUCAAACAUAAAUAGGUGAUGGAACUUGUAAGAUAUUGGGUAAUACUCCAAAUCGGAGUGGGUCAAGAUGAUAGGUUUGACGAAGAAAAUUUUUUUUUUUUAAGGCUCAAAAGGGUUAACUAUGGAUAUUUGAUAAAAUGGAUGGCUAGAAAGGCUCAAACGAAUCAAAGAUGGCAUUUCCAUCGUCUUUUAGGGCUCUAAAUAACCUUCCAUAUCUACUAGUUAGAUGGGCCUCCAAAUGUAGCAACACACAUUUUUUUUCUUUUUUUUUUUAAUUUUACAAUUUUUUUUAAGGGUUAACUCAAAAGAAAUCUAGAGAUCGUGUAUACAAUAAUAAACUGCUAAGCUGUAUAAAGAAUGGGCAAAAGAGUUACUCUCUAAGAAAAAUGAUAGGCUCAAAAACUCACUUGGUACUUAUUAUGACAUGUUCAUUCUUUCAAGUAACUUAUAUUUGUCUCCGACAUCAACAUGUAGAGUAGCAAACAUAGUGUAACAUCACUUAAGACCAAAGAUAAUACAAAUACUAAAAUUUGAAAUGAAUCAUGUCAUCCAAUGUUAAAACAAAUAACACAAUUUUUUUUUUAAACAACAUUCUACCCCCCAACAUAUUCUAAACAUGAAAGGAAAAUAUGUAUGCAGAAAUGUGAAAAUGAUGCAGAAAAAUUAAUUAGAAAAGUUACAUUUAAAAUGAUAGAAAAAGAAAUAUUUUUUUUUAUAUUUUUAACUAAGAAGAUGCGUUUCUAGAGGCACUACACUCCAUAUUCAGCCAUCUUCGACUCAAAUAUUUAAAAAUGCAUAUUUAUAAAGGAGAAAUUAAAAAAAAAAGAAAAAUGAACAUCAAAACUUAAUAAAGAAAAAGAAAAUGUCUGAAUUUUUUGAAUUUUUUUUUAAACGAUGAAGAUGCGUUUCUAGAGUCAUUACACUCCAUAUUCAGCCAUCUUCAACACAAAAAGUUAGCUACAGUUAGUUUCUACAACAAAAAAUUAGUAAAAACUUAACCAAGAUUCCACAAUUGUCGACUAUUCCCUCCCCCCAACCAGAAUGAAACAUUGUCCUCAAUAUUUGUAAGGAAAGAAGUUGAGUUUAGAAGACAUCAUCUGGGUGGUGCAACACAGAAGAAAAUAUUUACAACCAGAAUGAAACAUUGUCCUCAAUAUUUGAAAGGAAAGAAGUUGAGUUUAGAAGACAUCACCUGGGUGGUGCAACACAGAAGAAAAUAUUUACAAGCGGAGAGUUAAAUCUAAUUUGUACUUCUUACUGCGACUACUGUUACCAUUAUUAUUUGGACGCUCCAACACAAAGGUCCAGGGGUCUGGCUUCGGUCUAUAAGCUUGUAACAUAUCAAGUAGCUCAUUAGCAGUGUGAGCACAAAUAAAAAGCUUUUUGGCAUUGGAAGGAACGAAAUAGUUUUUUAUUGUAUGGUUAAGAAAUUCGAUAAAGUCAUCAUAAAAAUUAUUUACAUUUAACAAACCGAUGAGUUUCUGGUGAAUGUGCAGAUGGGCCCAAGAUGCUAGUGUGAUAAGUGCCUCUAGUGUUGCAUAGGACUCUUGGGAUGAUGCCUAACACUUGGCUUCCUCUGACAAAAGCAGCUUCUGAAACCAAUUUUGAUAACCCUCGGUUACCUCCUCCAUACACCAAGUGUAAUUUUCUCUCUGCUAUGCUUCGACCAAGAUCUACGGCUGCCUUAACGAACUCUUUAUGUUUUCCAUAGUUAAAUCCAGAAAGCACACAAAUGUUCUUGAAUUGUCUAUUGGGAGUAGCUGCCAUUGGAAUAUUUCUCAAAAAUAAUUUGUGAGUGCUUAACAAAAAGUCAUAUUUAAGAAUCUUGGUGACAGUAAGUCACAACUGUGUAUGAGGUGGCAUGUCAGUGUCAAAUAACGCGUAAAGCACAUGACUCGCGAGUCAAAAAGAAAACAGUAAAAAGAAAAAGAAACAAUGGUCAAAUAAAAUUAUUAAUGACAAUAAUGGAAAAGAUAAAACAACAGUGAAAUAAAAUAAUGUGAAGUAAAAGGAUAUUUACAGGUAGUUGCGACUGUGGCUCACAUCUUCCUCUGAUUUUACGUCCAGAAACGGAUUGAGCGCCCUCUAUGGGUCGAGGAUAGGCUUCCCAUCCAGUUUUCUUAUAAACUGGCAAACAUGGUCGUUUCUAGUCAGAUUCCCGAGACUAUAUCGUGCAUGCUCUUUCUGGAAUAAUGGCCAUAACUGGAGAAUCGCUCCUUGCACAUAUCCACUGGGAUGCGUUUCAAGAGACAGAAGGAUAUCAUCCAAUGACUCCUUAUUCAAGCCAUCCUUAAUGAAUUGAAUCUUAUCUUCUCUGUUAUCAGAUACCAUUCCUAAAGAACAUGGGUUUUUAUCGCAACUCAUUCUGGCACACUUAUGACAAGCAACAGAAAUUUUUCGAGCUCGUCGUUUUCUUGCAUAAUUUCCUUUACCACAACCAGGCAUGUAUGCAAUAAAUUUUGGAGGUAACUCACCUGCCAAUCGUACUUUAGCCUCGAUUAACCAACGGAUGUCAGCAGGUAUGUUAUUCCUCAUGAGCAAUCGCAUGCGUUCAGACCGGGCUUUAUAGAUUGUAAGGAGGGCAUUCUGAGGAAGUGAAGGGAAUCGCUUGUAAAGCUUCGCUAGAAUCUCGUUUCUGUCCAUACCUUCGCCUCAGAAUAUCAGUUAUUAUGGGAAAACUGAAGUAACCGACUUGAUUGUCACGGAGUACCGUUAUCCGCCACUUCACCGGGGUAACAAACUAAAGCACACAAACAGAAAAAUAAAUUAAAACACACAAAGAAAAUUAAAAUCGUCCUCUUGUUGAAUUUACCUCAAGCUCCAACUGGAUGUUGUAAACACUUCUCUCAAUGUCUCUGAGUUGGCUUUCUAAACCCUCAACAUAGGAUACUAACUCUGGUGGUUGUAGAGCCCAAAUACGAUGUGUUUUACAAAAUUGAAUCUGCCUUUUGAGAUAGUUUUGACACGUUGAAGUGGUUUAAGAAUGUUCAGGUAGAACGGUCUAAGUAUGGUACUCAUGAUUAACAAUGAUAAGAGAAAACUUAAUGGUAAAACAAACACACCUAUGGAAAAAUAAUUUUAAUUAGUAAAAGAAUAAUAAAAAGAAAGAAAGAAAAAUCAAAUCACCGAAAAAAAAAUCAAUUCAAAUCUGGUGGGUCACUCAAAUUUAUUUUGGUGUCUUCUCCAUGUGGUUGGUACUCUAGAUAUGGCUUUAGUCUUUGACCAUUAACUUUAAACGUGACACCGUUCUUUGGGUCCUUAAUUUCAAUCGCCCCAUGUGGAAAAAUAGUAUGAACAAUAAAUGGGCCAGACCAACGAGAGCGUAACUUACCUGGAAAUAGGUGCAAGCGAGAAUUGAAUAAAAGCACUUUCUGACCUGGAGUGAAAGAUUUUCUUAUAGUUUGCUUGUCGUGGAAGAUUUUCAUUCGUUGCUUGUAAAUCUUGGCAUUUUCGUAUGCAUCAUUGUGAAUUUCUUCAAGUUCUGCCAGCUGUAAUCUUCUUUCUGAGCUGGCUUGCUGCAUGUUAAAAUUGAAUUUCUUGAUGGCCCAAUAUGCACGAUGCUCGAGUUUCACAGGUAGGUGGCAAGCUUUUCCAUACACUAGCCUGUAGGGUGACAUCCCAAUCGGGGUCUUGAAAGCCGUUCUAUAUGCCCAUAAUGCAUCAUCAAGUCUUAAUGACCAAUCUUUUCUGUCCGGCCUCACCGUCUUUUCUAAUAUGUGCUUUAUUUCUCGAUUGGAGAUCUCAACCUUGCCACUGGUUUGUGGAUGAUAUGGGGUUGCCACUUUGUGAGUGAUUGAAUACUUUGUCAAAAGAGCAUUAAAUGCUUUAUUACAAAAGUGGGCACCACCAUCACUGAUUAUUGCUCGAGGGAAUCUAAAGCGUGAAACAAUGUUGCUUUUCAAAAAUCCUAUCACCACCUUAUGAUCAUUGGUUCUACAUGGAAUUGCUUCUACCCAUUUCGAUACGUAGUCAACAGCAACCAAUAUGUAUUGAUGGCCAAAAGAAGGGGGAAAAGAUCCCAUGAAGUCGAUACCCCAUAUGUAAAAAAUCUCAACCACUAAAAUUAGAUUUAGUGGCAUCAUGUUCCUUCGUGUAAUGCUCCCUAUUCGUUGACACCUAUCACAUGAAGAACAGAAAGUGUAAGCGUCUCGAAAUAUAGUUGGCCAAUAGAAACCACAUUGUAAAACUUUAGUAGCUGUUUUCUUAGCACUGAAAUGGCCUCCACAAGUUUGUUCAUGACAGAAUGAAAGGAUAUUCUGAAUUUCACUUUCUGGGACACAUCGCCUAACAAUUUGAUCUGCACAAUACUUGAACAGAUAAGGGUCAUCCCAAAAGAAAUUCUUUAUUUCUGCAAAGAAUUUAGCAUUGUCUUGCUUGGUCCAAUGCUCUGGAAGUUGACCUGUAACAAGAUAAUUCACGAUAUCAGCAUACAAUAGUAAUACUUCCACACUCAUCAAUUGUUCAUUUGGAAAUGACUCAUUCAAUGUUAAUGGCUCUGUAAUUGUGUCAAAAUGGAGACGAGAGAGAUGGUCUGCCACAACAUUUUCUGUGCCUUUUUUAUCUCUGAAUUCUAAGUCGAAUUCCUGCAAAAGUAACACCCAACGAAUUAGUCUAGCUUUUGCAUCUUUCUUCGUGAGAAGAUAUUUAAGAGCAGCAUGAUCUGUGAACACAAUUAUUUUACAACCAAUGAGAUAAGAUCGAAAUUUCUCUAAUGCAAACACUACUGCUAGCAUUUCUUUUUCAGUAGUUGAAUAGUUCAACUGUGCAUCAUUCAAUGUCAUACUAGCAUAGUAAAUAACAUGGGGAAUUUGAUCAACUCUUUGUCCUAACACUGCUCCUACUGCAUAAUCAGAUGCAUCACACAUGAGUUCAAAUGGUAAGCUCCAGUUUGGGGGCUGAAUGAUAGGUGAUGAUGUCAACAAUUGCUUUAAUUUUUCAAAAGCCACAAGAAAUGAAUCAUUAAAGAUAAAAGGUACAUCCUUAGCAAGUAGAUUGCAUAAGGGUCUAGAAACUUUACUAAAAUUUUUAAUGAAACGUCUAUAAAAACCAGCAUGCCCAAGGAAAUAUCUUACUUCUCUUACUAUUUUAGGUGGAGGAAGAUUAGAAAUGAGAUCCACCUUGGCUUUGUUAACCUCAAUACCUUUGCUUGAAAUGAUGUGACCGAGAACAAUACCUUGUUUUACCAUAAAAUGGCACUUCUCCCAAUUUAAGACUAAGUUCUUCUUGACACAUCUCUGCAGAACUAGUGUUAGAUGAUGUAAACAUUGAUCAAACGAAUCACCAAAGACAAAAAAGUCAUCCAUAAAGACUUCAAGGAAUCGUUCAACCAUAUCAGAAAAAAUGCUUAACAUGCAUCGUUGAAAUGUAGCAGGUGCAUUAUAUAAUCCAAAUGGCAUCCUCCUAUAUGCAAAAGUGCCAAAAGGGCAAGUGAAAGUGGUAUUCUCUUGAUCUUUUGGUGCUAUGAGAAUCUGAUUAUAUCCUGAGUAGCCAUCUAGAAAGCAAUAAAAUUCAUGGCCUGCUAAUCUAUCAAGCAUUUGAUCAAUAAAUGGUAAAGGAAAAUGGUCUUUACGUGUGAUAGAAUUCAACUUUCUAUAAUCAAUGCAUACACGCCAUCUUGUAGUCACUCUAGUAGGUAUCAAUUCAUUAUCAGCAUUCGUAACUACUGUGACUCCUGAUUUUUUGGGGACAACUUGUACAGGACUGACCUAUGAACUAUCAGAAAUUGGGUAAAUGAUACCUGCGUCUAAUAGCUUAAGGACUUAUGUUCUAACAACUUCUUUCAUAUUAGGAUUUAACCGACGUUGCAUUUCCCUAGUAGAUUUAGCAUUUUCAUCAAAGUGAAUGUAAUGCAUGCAGUCUACUGAGUUUAUACCUUUAAUGUCUGCUAUGGUCCAUCCUAAUGCUCCUUUGUGCUAUUUUAAAACAUCCAACAACUUACCUUUUUGUUCGUCAUUUAGGGAUGAUGAGAUGAUUACCGGUAGAGUACUUUCUUCUCCCAAAAAUACAUAUUAUAGAGUGUUGGGCAAUGGUUUGAGCUCGAGUUUCGGUGGUGAUUAUGAUGAUGAGAUGAGUUUUUUCUCUGAUGGUGCUAGUUGCUCAACUCUUGACUUCUAUUUAUUAGUAUCCAUGGAUGAUGCUGAGUUAAGUAGAGCGUUGACCUCAUCGACCAAUCUGUCAAUAUCAAAAUCAAAACCAAAGUGAGUUAAACAUGUUUGUAAAGGAUCAUCACUAAGGUUUGAAAGAAAAGUAUUAUCAACUAUUGUUUCUAUUAAAUCCACAUCAACAAUUCCAUCAUCUGCAUUGUGAGGUUGUUUGGCAAUGUUGAAGAUGUUCAGCUCCAUAGUCAUGUUGCCGAAGGACAACUGCAUAUUUCCAGUCCUGCAUUGAAUGUGAGCAUCCGCAGUUGCCAAGAAAGGUCGGCCUAGAAUAAUGGGGAUGUGCUUCCUUGAAUCAUGUAUUGGUUGAGUGUCAAUUACAAUGAAAUCAACAGGAAAAUAAAACUUGUCUACCUGGAUAAGCACGUCCUCCACAAUACCACAAGGUAUUUUCGUGGACCAAUUUGCAAGCUGUAACACCACUGGAGUUGGGUGUAAUUCUCCAAGUCCAAGUUUCAAAAAUACUGAGUAAGGCAACAGAUUUACACUAGCUCCUAAAUCCAACAAAGCAUUCUCAAUUGUGUGGUUCCCUAUGCUACAUGAGAUAGUGGGGGAGCCUGGGUCUUUGCAUUUUGAAGGAAUUUUAUGUUGGAGUAUAGAACUAACGUUUUCUGUUAAAAAUGCCUUCUUUUGAACAUGCAUAUUUCUCUUUUUAGUACAAAGGUCUUUAAGAAACUUGGCAUAAGAUGGAACUUGUUUAAUAGCAUCAAGUAAAGGGAUGUUAAAGCUUACCUGUUUGAAGAUUUCAAGAAUCUCACCUGUGGAUUUUCCCUUUUUUCCUUUAGCUAACCUCUGAGGAAAUGGAGCUUUCGGAACAUAUUCUCAUGGGUUGGUUUCUUCUUUCUCUUCCAAUGAUGAUUCAUCAACAUUCACAGGUGCAAUUUGAUUUCUUUUGUCACCGGCAUCUCCACUUUGUUGUCGACUUCUUUUCCUUUUCGCAAGGUCAUGACUACUUUGACCUCUCCAUGCUGCUAUGGUGAACUGGUACUUGCUUCAUGCACUCCUUUAGGAUUAGACACUGGUUGACUUGGAAACUUGCCUUUCUCAACAGUCAUUGCCAAGGUCUGAACUGAAGAAGCAAGCUGUCCCACCAUCUUCUUGAGGCUUAAAACUGAUUGAGCUUGUGAGUUGAAGCCUGCUCUCAACUCAUUUCGUAGUCCAUCAAUGAUGCGGUUCUGUUGCUCAAUCGUAGAGUGAGUAAGAUUCUUGAGAUUCUGGAAUGAAUCCUCCCAUGGUCUGGGUUGAGAAUAGUUCUGGUUCUGAUUGUAUGGUCUAAAUGGGGGCUGAGAGGCUUGAGGAAUUGGUUGCAUUGGUGGAGUUGGAGCUGCUGGUCCAUUCUGUUGGAAUCCUUGAGACCAUGAAAAAUUGGGGUGGUCUCUCCAUCCAGGGUUAUAUGUGUUGGAGUAUGGGUUGUAAUUCGAUGGUUUUCUCAUUACACCUAUGGCAUUGGCUUGAUCUGAGUAUGAGUCAUGGUCAUGUGACUCUGUUGAUUUAGCAGUCGAUAACGAUGCUAUUUGUUGAGCGAGAGCUUCAACCAUCUCCUUGACUUCUUUGAUUCCUGAAGUUGACUCGCCAAUGUGAACCUCAUUUACUCCCUUAAUUCUUCUAGUAUUCCUGAGUGACCGACUCCGUUGUUGGGAAUUAUCCGCUUGUCGCUGGAAGAAUUCCCAAAUCUCUGAUGCACUUUUUGACAUUAGCUCUCCUCCACUUGUUGCCAUUAGCCAUUCUUGCACAUUCGGCAAUAAUCCCUCUAAAAAGUAUUGGCAUUGGUGCCGUUUCUCGUACCCAUGAUGUGGACACUUCAAGAGUAGCCCAUUGAAUCGCUCCCAUGUUUCGAAAAACUGCUCGUCUUCUCUCUGGGUAAACUUUGAAAUUUCCCUGCAAAUAGCAUUGGUUUUAUGCACUGGAAAAUAUUUAUUCAAAAAUUUUGUUACCAUUUGUUCCCAUGAUGCAAUGCUAUUAGCAGGCAAAGUAUUUAACCAUGAACGAGCUCUAUCCUUUAAAGAAAAUGGGAAUAAUCUGAGUUUAACAUCAUUGUCUGAAAAAUUCUUAUAUUUAAAAGUUUGACAAAUAGCAUGAAAAUCAUUCAUAUGAUUAUAUAGGUCCUCAUUUUCUAGGCCAUAGAAUGUUGGGAGACAAUUUAGCACGCUAGGUUUUAGUUCAAAACUCCUAGCAGCUACAUUUGGGUAUCUUAUGCAUGAUGUGCUCAAAUUAGCUAAAGGACUGAAGUAGUCCUUAAAUGGCCUCUCCUGUGGUUGCAAAUCCAUUUUAUUUUUAACUUGUUUGUGUGUGCGAAGUGUUCUCUCAAGUUCAAGGUCUAUAGGUUCAAGAUUAGGUAAUAAUGACCUUCGACCAUGCAUGCAAAACAAAUAAAAUAAAAAUAAAGAUGGGAACAAAACAAGUAAAAAUAAAGAAGAGGUAGAAAUUACGAUACUAACCUUAUUGCGCUAUUACAACCUUUCUAAAAAAACACUUAAAAAAAAUACGUGAAAUAAAUUAACUAAAAAUAAAUUAAUAAGCUAAACAAAAAAAUACAAAGAAAAUUAAAUUGAAAAUUAAAUUACAGAAUUUCAAAGAAGAGAAAAAGAAAAGAAAUUCUUACCUCUAAAUGUAGAUUCACUUUUUUUUCCUUUUUUUUAAUAAGAAAAAAAAAUACAAGAAAACAAAUAAAAGAAAUUAUUCACAAAAAUUAAUUCUACGAAUCAAAAUAACUUACCUCCCCGGCAACGGCGCCAAAAACUUGUUGUGCAAAUUUUAUUGAACUCGCAAGUGCACGAAUCUAUUAUAGUGUAGAUCAAUGGCGACGAGUAUCAAUCCCACGAGGAGGUGGAUUUUAAUUGUGUGUAGAAUUAAUUUUGUAUGAAGGGUGGUUGGAUUUGUGGUGAAAAUGAUUUGGAUUAUCCUAAAGUUCGAAUUAAAAUGGCAAGAAUAAAUUGAGAAGAAAUCUAUUAAAUUGACGUAUUUGGGUAUUUGGAUCCGUAUCAACAUGCACCAUGGGCUAAAUAUUCCUUAUUAAUACCAAUUAAAUCAUGUGGGGGGAAUCCACACCUCAUGAACCACACUCUAAUCAAUAUGGUGCUAAGGGCUUAUCGUGCUAAAUAAUAAUAACCUUGUACUAGAGAGCCGGUGAAACCAAGGCGGUAUCUAGACAAGAUUAUUAUUAUUUAUCGACGAGAAGUCAAAACAUCCACAAAAACUAGAGGGGAAGAGAAAAUAAAUUUACCAAAUAAAGCCCAUGACACAUGUUGAGACUUCACCUUCAACCCAAGCUUGAAAGAAAAUUAGCUACUCAUAAUUGAACUAAGGGCAAAAUGAGAAUUUAUUAAAAUACGUAGAAAAUACAAGAUAGAGAAGGAAUUACAGAAAAUGGAGUCCAAAAAUGGAUUCAGAGAUAUCAAAUUAAGGGGGGGGAGGCCCCCUUUUUAUAGAUACAUUAAGUAAAUCGUGGCCAUCGGAUUAAAAACAGUUUGGACGCUCAGGAUUGCGCCACGUCAUCAGUCAACAGUACGCGGUUUGACCACACGGAUGAACAGUAACACGGUUUGACCCGGGUUGAACAGUGACGCGGUUUGGUUGAAAAUAAUCCUGUGUGAUGCAUGUACCGUACGCAAGAUUUUUGGUCCACCGAUAUGCUUCUACGUCACCAUCAACAGUAUAUAAGAAUUUUAGUCCAACAGGAUCGUGACACCUCAUCAGUCAAUGCCACAUCAUCGGUCAAUGCCACGUCAUCGAUCCGUCUAUGUGAACAGUGUCGUGAACAGUAAUGUAGACAGUACCGUACAUGUGAACAAUGCCAUUUUUCCUUUUAUGCUCCUCCUAAGGUUUUCGAUCGUCCUAAGUUCAAAAGUGAUGUCCGUUUUGCCGUCUGAUCUCUCGUUUAUUGUGAAAUGACCAUAAUGCCCCUAAAAUACAUAAAAUACUUAAUUAAAAUAAAACACACAUAAUUAAAUUACAAGAAGUUUAAAUACAUAAAAGUAUUUCUCCUUUAUAAAUAUACAUUUUCUAACACUCAACACUUCGCACUGCUGAUGCAUAUGAUACUCGAGACAUCUCCUUCCUCUCUGCUUUAUUGCUAGGACACAUACUUGAGGAUAAUUUGAAAUUAACAAGAAGUGGGGUAGAAAUUGACUUACAAUCUUGCAUGUUGAAGCGCUACAAGAUUUUCUUCAAGUAAUUCUUCUGUGAAAGCCAAAUCUUCCUGUUAUUUCUGUCUCAGUGAAUUUGCAUCCCUAGAAUCUUGUUUUCUGGUCCUAAGUCCUUCAUUUCAAACUCCCUAGCCAAUUGUGCCUUCAAUUCUUGGACUCGAUCUUUGUUGGAGCCUGCUACCAACAUGUCAUCCACAUAAAACAAUAAAAUAAUGAAAUCAUUAUCUUCAAACCUUUUGUAAUAUGCACAAUGGUAUGAACUGAGUCUGUUGUAUCCAAGGCUUAUGAUGAAGGAAUCAAAUCUCUUAUACCAGCACCUCGGUGCAUGUUUGAGACCGUAUAGAGAUUUGUUUAACCUGCAAACCAAGUUUUCCUUUCCUGUUUCUGUAAAACCUUCUGGUUGGAGCAUAUAUAUUUCUUCUUUAAGUUUUCCAUGAAGAAAUGCAGUUUUCACAUCUAACUGCUCAAGAUGUAAGUCAAAUGUAGCAUACAUUGCCAAGACUACCCUGACUGUUGUAAGUCGAACCACCGGAGAAAAUAUCUCGUUGAAGUCAAUACCUUCUUUCUGAGCAUAUUCUUUCACCACCAAUCUUGCACGAUACCGCUCCACUUGAUCAUUGCCAUCACGUUUGAUCUUGUAGACCCAUUUAUUUCCAAUGACUUUUCUUCCGUGUAGUAGUGGUACAAGUUCCCAUGUCUUGUUCUUGUGUAGAGCUUCAAUUUCUUCCUGCAUUGCUGUCAUCCACAAAGCAACAUCUGAGUUGUUUAAAGUUUCAUGGAAAGUUGAAGACUCUUCAUUCUCAAUUAGAAGACAGUAAGCAACAUUGAUUUCAGUGACAUACUCCGAGUGCCACGUUGGCGGUCGUCUCUCAUGAGUUGACCGACGAACUUCUGGAGCCUCAGACUCGACUGGUUCUUGUUCUUCGUGCUCUGGUGCUGCUUUAGAAGAAUAUGAAUUUUCUGGAUUAUUUUCCACAUAUACCGGUAUAGUCUCUGAUUUUUCUUUUACACUGCUAUCAUCCUCAUCUCCCAUUUGCAGCUAAUCUUCUAUAAAGAUAACAUCUCUGCUGAUGAUGAACUUGUGGGCAAUGGGGUCCCACAGAUGAUACCCCUUUACUCCAUCAGCAUAUCCCAAGAAGAUACAUAUUCUAGAUUUUGGAUCCAGCUUUGUUCUUUCUUGGGCAUUGUACAUCACGUACACAGGACAUCCAAAUACAUGUAGGUAGGAGUAAUCAGCUGGCUUUCCAGUCCACAUCUCCAUUGCCGUCUUCAACCCAAUAGCUGUAGAUGGUGACCGAUUUACUAUAUAACAGGUCAUUUUGGCUGCUUCUGCCCAGAAUGAAUUGGGCAGACCAGCAGUCCUCAACAUAGCUCUUAUCUUUUCUGUAAGAGUUCUGUUCAUCCGCUCCGCCACUCCAUUUUGUUGAGAAGUGUAUGCUACCGUGAACUGCCUCUGAAUACCUUCUUGCUUACAGAAAGCAAGAAACUCACCGUCUGUAUACUCUCCACCAUUAUCUGUCCUCAAGCACUUGAUCUUUUUACCAGAUUCAAGUUCCACCCGCGCUUUGUAUUCUUUAAACACUGAAAAUACAUCUGACUUUUUUUAAUUGGAUACACCCAACAUUUGCUAGAAUAAUUAUCAAUGAAAGUCACCAUGUACUUUGCACCUCCCAUGGAUAUAUCCAGUGAUUCCCAAACAUCAGAAUGAAUCAAGUCUAGAAUGCAUUUACUUCUAACAAUAGAUCUACUGAAUUUUAAUCUAUGCUGCUUACUGGUAACACAAUGCUCGCAAAAUGGUAAACUUACCGAUUUGAGUCCCGGAAGCAAUUUUCACUCAGAGAGAAUCUUCAAACCUUGUUCUGACAUGUGGCCAAGUUUGAGAUGCCACAUCAUCGUUGACUCUUCUCCAUUUGAUGCGACACACGCAUCAGCCUCCUUUAGUGUUUCUCUUUUAAGCAUGAAUAGAUUAGCACCGAUCUUUUCUUUUUUCAUCAAUACAAGCGCGCCUUUAACAAAUUUUCAUAAUUCCAUUCUCCACAUGAGUUUUGUACCUAUGACUACCCAUUUGUCCCAAAGACAAUAAAUUUUUCUUUAGGUCGUUGACAUGUCGUACCUCCCCAAUUGUGCGAAUUGUACCAUCAAACAUUUUUAUUUUGAUAGUACCAAUACCAGCGAUCUCCAAGGCAUGAUCAUUACCCAUAUAUACAUAUUCUCCUGAGAUAGGUUCAUAUGUACGAAACCAUUCUCUCCGAAAGGUAAUGUGCCAUGUAGCUCCUGAGUCUAUAAGCCAGACAUCAGAUAGUCGUUUUCUGCCUUCUGAAACUGUUGUUGCGUCGCUGUAAAGAAUUUCGCCAUCAUCUGAGGUAUUUGCUACACACCCUUGAGCAUUUGAUGACUCAGGUUCUUUGCCAUCUUUUCUCUUCUGGUUAUUCCAACACUCUUUCUUGACGUGCCCUUUCUUGCCACAGUUGUAGCAUUUAACAUUCUUCUUACUUCUGAAUUUUGAUCUACCAUUAUUGUGACACCCACUGGGGCCACGUUCCGUUAAUCUCCCUUUCGUCACCGAUAGCGCCUCCGCUUGCUGCGAACUUACUUGUCUGUUUUUCUUAUUUUUCCGCCUGCUCUCCUCAUUUAAUACGGAAGUUACAACAUCAUCGAAAACUAGACUGUCCGCUGGAUUGUUGUUCGUCAGGUUGAUGAUGAGUUGAUCAUACGAAUCUGGUAGACUUUGAAGUAAAAGCUCUGCACGUUCAUUCUCCUCUAUAUUAUGACCCAACGUUGUGAGUUGUGAAAAUAGAGUCUUCAAGGUAUUGAUGUGGUCGGUCACCAUUGUAGAUUCCGCCAUUCGAAGAGUAUAGAGUUUCAUUUUCAAGAAUAUUUUGUUGUGUAGUGACUUGACCUCAUACAAUUUUUUAAAAGUAUCUCAUAUUUUCUUUGCUGUAUUUUUCUCUGCCACACUGGAUAAUACUUCGUCCGUAAGUGCCAAGUGUAGAUCAGAAAUGGCGUUGCCAUCUAUCUUAUUCCGCUUGUCAUUAGUUAUCUCCAUAAGUUUUUCUCCAAUUGCUGCCAAACAAUUAUUUUUCCUCAAUACAGCUUUCAUCUUCAUUUUCCACAACGAAAAAUUAUUUCCGUUAAACUUCUCAAUUUCAUAUUUUGCAGUCAUUUUGUUGAUAAAUAUUGUACACAAACUAGUGUAUCACCUUGAAUAGUUGUGAAUAUGUGUGAAUAUACACACCAGGAAAGUUCCCAGGAAAGACUGGAAGGGUCACAAUUGUCCCACUUAAAAUCCAGACUCCUUAAGCUCUUAUCGCCUUUGUGACAGAACUUUCCUAGACAUGUACAAAACCACACAGUUGCUUUACUCACACCACUAUUCCCUACUUUGCACCGCAAAAUUCUUGGAUCCCUCCCACCGUUUCACGUGAAUAGUACCGUAUACGUGAACAGUGCUGUAUACGUGAAUAGUACCCCUUACGUGAACAGUACCCGACUCCAAAAAAUUCAACCAAUAGCUCUGAUACCACUGUUAGGAAUUUGAUGGGUGAAGCAGACACGCAGCUAAAAUGAAAUUAUAAGAAAAUAAAGAACAAGCACAAAAAGUGGACACCAGAAAUUACGUGGUUCGGCUUUUAGCCUACGUCCACGGACGAAGACAGAAUGAAAAUAUUUUACUAGUGAAAAGGAGUUACAAGUAUUGUAGUAUUUUAGCUCACUACCCAAAACCUCAAUACAUCCAAACUCUCAAAUCACUGAACAAGAUUGUUUCUCACAACUCUCGGCUCUCUUUACAAAAUUGGAUACGAGCUCUAAAUUGAAAGCUUGUAUUUAUAGGCAAAACCUUGCCUCAAAAGUUAAAAAGGUGGUCAUAAACUUCAAGCCAUGCAGCUAAAAAAUUUCAAUUUUUCAAACUUUGAUUUUUUAGUUUUGAAUUUUUCUUUUUCUUUUACCAAACAUUACGACAUCUAGAACUUCAAAUCCAUGUGCCAACCAUUUUGCUUCUUCAAACCUUCUAGAUGCAGCUUCUAGAUGCUGCAGCCAAAUCUUUUGACAUUUGAUCAAUAUAGGGGUGCUGAUUUUUCCUUUAAAAUCAUAUCGUGUUCAUCCUGUUUUUGUUCAAUUUUUUCGGUUUUGUUAUUAAGCUUGUUCUUUGAUAUAAGCGUUUGGUUUCUUGUUGGUGAUGGCUUGAAACCUCAACAUAAGCGAAGAAACGAUCUCAAUUUUUUUGUUCGAUUAGUUAUCUCUCUAAUGACUUAUUGUUGCAUUUAUAUCAUAUUACAAGUAAUUUGUGUGAUAACACUGCAAUUUGAUGAGCAAAUUAGGAGAAAAUAACAUAUGUGCCAAACGUAUCGUUUAUUAUUGUGUUCAUUUGUAAAGCUAUUCAAAGAAAAAAAAAAGUACCAGCUCGUUAUGAUUUCAAAUAAUUUCAAGCCAUAUAUCAUUAUUGGUAUAAAAAGAUAGUAAAAUGGUUAAAACUAUUUUUAUGAACUUAUAAACUUAGGAAUUUAUCAACCGUCCACACUUGAAUUGUACUGUCAUAAAAAACAUUACAACACUUUUAAGUUGCAUCAUUCAUCCACAAAAUCGUUAACUUCCGUUAAAAAAAAUAAUGAUGCCACAAGGAUAAUUUAGACAUUCAACAUGCUGGAUUAAAAAUAAAAGAGAAAUUAUCAGUCAUCCAUCCUAAUUUUACCAUGCUAUAAAAAUUACUUCAAAAAUAUGAAUUUGUUCAAUUUCCAACUUGAGUUUAUAAUUUGUCAGCUAUCCACCAAAACGUUAACUGCCAUUUAUAAUUAAUGACGUCACAAGGAUAAUUAAAACAUUUGAUAUGCUAAAUAAAAAAUAAAAUAAUAGCUUUCAAUAUAAAUAUAAAAACUUAAUUUUUAAAACCAAUAUUCAAUUAAAUACACUUAAAACUCUAUUUUUCUUAAUUAAAAAAUUCAAAUUUGUUUUCGAAAUUUAUCUUCACAAAUUUAUAAAAUUAAACUAAAUCCUCUAACUACUCUAAACCCUAAUUCAUAAGCACCCAAUCAAUCCAAUCCUUAAAUUCGAUUUCAUAAUUAUAAAAAGCUUAAUUUUAUUUUAUUAUUUAUGGUGCAAAGUGAAAAAUGCCCUUGAAUUCAAGGAUAAAACAACCAUUUUAUUUAAGUUCUAUAAAAUAUUAUAACAGUGUUAACAUUUUGGUGGGCAAUUGAUACCAAUUAUAAAUCUAGAAUGAAAAAUUAAAUAAAUUCAAACCUUUUAAUGUCAAUAACAGGGUAAAUUUAAGGUAUAUGAUUGAUAAUUUUUCUUUUUUUUUUACGUUAAAUUGAGUUUUAAGGGCAAAAUGAUCAAUUUGCUAUGAUUUUGUUAAUUUUUUGUCAAAAAUCGAAGAUAUUGUGGAUGAAUGAUGUAAAUUGUAAAAUCAUGGUGGAUGAAUGACACGACCCGCCCCGACCCAUAUGUUGGAUCCGAGGCGAAUCAUGCAGUUUGAUAAUUAAAACACAUGACAUAAACUUAAUUAAUGAAUAUAUAAAAAUGGACUUGGGCCUUUACUAUAAACAUAUAAUAACAUAUGUGUCUCAUCUGAAAACAUAUUCAAACUUCGCAUAGUUCACAUCUCAUUAUAUACGCAUGCAUCUUAAAUAUUUGCUUAUGAACAUGAACGUGCUCAAAAUGCAAGUCGUGUAGCAAUGUGUGUCAUGGGCUAACCUCAAUUGAUUAAAAAUUGAACUGCACGAAAUCCCCAGAAACCUAGAAGAAAUGAGGUAAUAGGAAAAUAGUGAGCUUGUUGCUAUAUAUAUAAAUUAACGUACUAGUGCUUGUAUAUAAUAGGGAUGGGCAUCGGAUCGGAUUCGGGUCAAUCUGAUCCAACUGAUCCGAAUAUGUUCGGAUCAGAUUCGGAUUGAUCUCUAAAUCCAAUUGGAUAGAAAAUUUACAAUCCAAUCGGAUUUGAUUCGGAUCGGAUCGGAUUCGGAUCAAUCCAAUUAAUCCGAUCGGAUUGCACUUAAAAAAAACUUAAAUAUAAAUAAAUUAAAAGCUUAAAAGACAAACCUCUUCUACCCUAAAUUCCCAAAUCAUAAACGAAUUGAACCUAGCCAGCCACAAAGGCACGGAUUCAGCCAACCCAGCCAUCAAGCUUCGCACCUGCCGGCUAGCCGCAUGUCGAUGACGCCCCCUUCCAUGCGCCGAUGACGUCCCAGGGAACAACAACCAAUCGAAGAUGACAACAAGUACUGCUUGUUGUCUGCUACUGCCAUCUUCAGUUCUUGAUAUCUGCUGUCAUCUUCUCGCUUGAUGCUUGUUGUCUGCUGAUCUUCAGUUCUUCUUCUUCUUCUGCUAUUUUUCCUCUUUCUUAAUCUUAACAGUUGGUGCUGGGUGUUUGCUUUUGUUUGUUAACUAGUUUUUUUUCCUUUACAUAUACAUAUAAUUCGAAUUUAAUCCCAAGAUGACAGCAAGUACUGCUUGUUGUCUGCUGCUGUCAUCUUCAGUUCUUGCUAUCUGCUGUCAUCUUCCCUCUUACUGCCUAUUGUUUGUUGAUAUGUGAUUCUUCUUCUUCUGCGUUCCCCCCCUUUAAUCUUAACAGUUGGUGCUGGGUGUUUGCUUUUGUUUGUAUAACUAGUUUUUUUUUUUCCUUUGCAUAUUCAUAUAAUCCGAAUUUAAUUCGGAGCUAUUAAUCCGAUUCGAAUCCGAAUUAAUCCGAUCCAAAUCCGAAUUAAUCCGAAAUAAUCAUCCGAUCCGAACUUAAUCGGAAUGGAUUGGAUCGGAUGAUUAUUUCGGAUUAAUUCAGAUGGUUUUUAUCCCAAUCCGAACAAUCCUCAAUCCAAUCGGAUUGAUCCGAAUCCGAUCCGAAUCCGUUUUCCCCCACCCCUAGUAUAUAAUCAUAUGACAUAACUCCACAGUGAACACAUUAUAUAAGCAAACGUAAAAUCAUACAUAUAUACAUGACAAAACUGCAGCAAAUAGUAUAUAGGGCAAAUAACUCUCAUUACUCACCAAGAUCAUCAUCACAUGAGUACAACGGGAGAAAAACCUCUCAAUAUAGGUUGAAUUUAACUAUAUUGCACAUGUAGAGUAACCUAACUCUCAAUCCACAUGCACACAGUGUGUGGGGAAGGGUACACAUAUGGUGACUGGCAAUCACAUUUUAUGACUCAAUCAAACUUAUAAUUUGCGUACAUAUAGUCAUAACAUGAUAUUAAAUCAUACUAUCAAACAUAAAUGCUUUAUAAAAUAUAUAAUAGUAAUAAUAGUAUCCAUUCAUAGAGUCUGUUUCACUCUGGGGUUUGUUUCGGCUCUUGUGUGCUCCUGAAAACAUGAAUUCCUCCUAAAACACAGGAUUCAAAAAUUAACUAUUAGAAUUGAUAUAUAAAAUGUUACUUAUCAUGAAAAUUAUAACAUAACUACUCAAACUUUAUAGAUCUAUUAGCCACUAAUUCACUAGAUAUUAAUCUAACUGCCGAAUUUCAUUUCCUUAAAGUUUUUUCUCAAUUUCUCUUUUCAAUUUCUUUUUCACACUCGGCUUCUCAAUCUCUUUUCUACUUUUUCCUUCCUUUUUCUGUUUUCCUUCACUCUUGGUUCCUCUUUUUUCUUUUAUUUCUUUUCUUCUUUUCUUUUUCUUUCUCUUUUCCUUUCCUUUUUUUUCUUUCUCCCAAUUUCUUUUCUUCUCUCUGUUUUUGCUUUUGAUUUCGGCUUUCUCCAAAAAUAUGAAAAACGAAGUAGCUUCCAUUUUAUUUAAACCUUAUAUAUAUUCACCGAAUAAAGUGCCCAAAAAAAAAAAAACAGAGAGAGAGAGGUGUCAAGCAUGAGGUGGCAAGUGAAGCAGGAGAAGCAAAUUAGUGAAACAUCCAUCUAAUCUCGAGGAAGCAAGCAGCUGGCUAUUUCUUAUUUAUGAAGCCACGUGUGGCUUUAUUUGGUGGCUUAAUGCCACAAACAUAUGUUACAAGGAAUGAUGUAACUAAAAAGUAUUGUAGUUUUUUUUUUAUUUAAUGACAGAACAAUUUAAAAGUUAAAACUUUAAUGAAGCAACUAUAAAAAUUUUUAACACAAAAAGUGAUUGAGGGGCAAGGUUAUUUAUACUUUAAAAAUUACUUUGAAUACUCUGAUUUUAAUAAAAAUAUAUUCUACAAAACUCCUCUAAUGUGAAUUACUAUUAAGGACAAUUUAUUAUAAGUCAAUAUUGUAUAAGUACUUUGAACACCGAUAUAAUAUACUCAUUGUUCAAUUUAUAAUUCUCAUACUUUAAACUCCAAAACUUUUAUUUCUAAGGUGUUAAUUAACAAUUAGAUGAAUAAUGAGAAAAUCAAUCUGGAAAUUUUUUUUUUGCCAAAGUAUGCGUUUAUUUUUUUUUGAAAAAAUAAAAUGAAACAAAAGUACUAUAAAAGAUUUUUUUUUUUAAUUUGCUUUGGCCCUUCUUCUUUGUCUUCUUCAUCUCCUUCUUUAUCUUUUUUUUUUUUUGGGUAUUAUUUAUGAAAUAUUAUCAUGUUAUCAUUGUAAGUUAUUUUGGGUGCAAAGUUCAAUAUUGAACAUAAAUAAAUAAAUAAUUAAUAACUAAAAUUGUGUUAAAUAAUUUGCUUACAACUUGACUUGAUUAUAUUCUUGUAAGUAUAUAUUAAGUCUAAAAAAAAAAAUUGGAGCUAAAUAGUUUUACUAGUAUUUUAAGUAAAUAAUGUUUGAAUAACGUAAAUAGUUUUAGUAAGGAUAUUUUUUGAAUUUUUAAAAUUGUAUAAAUUAAAACUUAAUUUUUUUAUAAUUUGUGUAUGAGUGUACGGAAUAAUAAAGUGUUCAAAGUAAUAUUUUGAGUACAAAUAAUCUCAUCCGUAAUUAAGUGAUUUUUGAAAUAAAAAAAUAACUGAAAUGCUUUGGGAAAAAUAAAAUAAAGGAACUUAAAAAUAAUUUUAAAAAACGUAACUUAGUAAAAUCAUUUUACAUAAUGCUCUUUCAAAUGCACAUUCCACAAUAACAUUAAUGGAUAUUCCAAGACUUGAAAACUAAUUAAAAUUCAGCAACUCGAUUCUUAUUUAUCUAUUUAUUAAUUUGACAAAUAAACAAAAAUUACGUGUCUUUUGUUUUGAACAAUUAUCUAUAUAUCUAUAUAUAAAUAGUAACCUUGUUAAAUAUUCUAAAACAAACCAUAAUUUUCAUUUAUGUCAUUAUAUAUUCACUAAUUAGUUUGUGGGUGUCAUUUAGUAGAGAUAAUAAAAAAUUUUGAUGUGAAUGCAAAAGAUUUUGAAUUUGAAAAGAAAAUUGAAUUGCCAUUACACUAAAUAAUUAAAAAAAAAAAAUUCACUAACAUUUCUUGAUGGUUUAGGCUCCAAAGCAAGAAGCGCCGAUUCAUAUCACAAAAUUAUUAUUAAAAGCACUUGUGGGCUUGUGGCAUAAAGCAGAGUCCUAUUCGGAACACAAUUUUCCAUUUUGUCUUUUGAAAAUGAGUUUCCACAAGCCAAGAAGAAUGGGUGGCUAUGGAAAGGUACGGGUACCAGAGAACCCAAAAUCCCUAAAUAUCCAGGAAAAUACUGUCACGAACAUAAAAAAUAAAAAAUAUUGCAGUCACCACACAAAGUCUUGAAGCUCUGGUCUUUACAAUUUGAGCACAGAAUAAAUAUUAACAACCUGCCAUUUAUAAUUUGUAUUAACUCUGUACCAAGGAUAAUUUAAACAUUUGAUAUGGUCACAAACGGAACAGGUGAAUUUUGAAGUUGAAUAAAUCUUGAGAUACAUACAACAAAGCCUUGAAACUUUAUUCUUCACAAUUUGAGCACGCACUGAAUAUUAAACAAGUAUAGAACAAAGCUUAUUUUUAGCUCCUUGCGCGAACUGAACACGUUGAACAAAGCUUUUUUUUUUUUUUUUUGGAUUUUUGGAAUUUUUUUAAUUCAUUUAUGUUCGCUCCCAUCUUUUUCUUCGCUGGCGUCUUCAUUGGCAUCUCCUCGUCUGUAGUUUGCUGUGCCUAUAUAUCCAACCAAUAAAUUGGGCAUUAAAUACGAUUGAAUGAUGAAUAAAAUGAUUAAAAAAAAAUUAUAAUAUAACACAUAUAUAUAUCAAAAGAGAAAUUUUGAUUUUAGGAUAGAUCAAUUAGCUAUCACAAACGAAAACAUGAACCAACUAUGUUUAGAGUCAAUUAACUAAAGUUCUCAAGAGUUGACCUGUGCUCCUGAAUUCUUGGAAUCAUAUAUCUCCUUCGGAACUUGGACGAAACUUGGGACAAUUACGAACAACAACUCUAUAGGGUGCAGAUGGAAAUGGGAUCUGAUAACCCGCAGGCCAAAAGUUGGUGAGGUUUGGUAAGUUUAUCAAUUCCAACUUCCGAAGUUCAUUCAUAACAAUUUCAUUGUAAUCCGUGACGUCUGCUCCAUCUUUAUGGCAGAAUACUUCUUCUAAUUCAUCAUUACCUAUUAUGUACAGUUUUUGAAGACCUGGAGCUACGCUGAUAUGAAAUAGAUGCUUUAGUUUGGGGCACCUAAAGACAGAGAUCCUUGUGAGUUUUGGGAAACAUACAGGUUGGAGAUGAUCCUCAUCCUCAUCCUCAUCAAUGAUUUGCUCUAAUUCCCAGCAAUCACGAACGAAUAACUCCUUCAAUUGCAACAGAUUUCGAGCAAGUGCUGAUGAGAAAAGACGUCUCAGUAUAGUGCACCCGUCCACUCUUAAAAAGGUAAGACUUUGCAGGCUAAAAUUAUGAGUGGAACCUACGUGAUAUAAUAAUACUUGCAGUUCUCGAAGGUCUUCCAAUUGCAACGUCUUCAAACAUGGGAAUAGUUUGUUUUCUUGUCCCUCAGCGAUAAUAGCUUCCACUUGAAAUACCACUUGUACUCCAAGUUCUCCAAUAUACAAUAUUUCCAAAUUUGUUAAGCCAUGCUUCAACAGUGCUGGAAUCGUGUCACUCAAAUGGGAGCAUUCGCCUACUAUUAGAAUUCUUAAUUUCUGAGACAAAUAAAUAAAUAACUUGAUGUAAUUAAAAUUUGUUAGCAGCUAGGAUUGUCAAAUUGACAAUUAAGCGACAAAUACUUAAAAAAAAUUACCUACAAAAAUAUAAUACUACACAUGUAAACUUAUAAAAUAAUUAUACUUUGUGAAAGUAAGGAAUUUAUAAAAAAGAAAAAGAAAUCCGUUGAAAGAGAUCAUGUGAAGUGAUACAGCAGUGACAUCGUUUUGUUUGAGAAAAAUUAAUAUAGUAUUUCUAUGGUAAAAUUAACUAAUGAAUUGAAUUUGACUAAUAAUAUACAUACAUUACAAGUCCUUGCAUCCAUUUUUUUUAUUAUAAAGUAAAACGAGAUAUGAAUUUUAUUUAAAAAAUGAAUUUUAGGCCCUAAAACAAAGAAAUUUGUUCAAGAUACUGGAUCGUUAUUAUUAUCAUCACCACUACCACCACCGUCAUCUUCAUCUCAACACGCCAAAUGCAAGGUGAUAUGAAUGACUGAUCACAAAAGUUUUUGAUAAACUAUCUUUUUGAGUAAAAUUAAAGGAAAAGAAAGAAAAAAACGUAAACACAAGCGAACAUACCUCUCCAAGAUACUGCAAAUUGGCUUCAAGUUCAGUACUGUUGACGGUCAAUUUAGGACAUCUCCUUACAUCUAACUCUUCCAAUGCCGGCCAAGUUGAAUAAUAAUUUUCUGAACAGAAGCUGAUGAGUUCGGGGAGAUCUUUAAAUCUUAAUUUUCUCAACGUAGGGAGCGCAAGUAUUGUAUUUCCAUCUCCUACACUUAUUUCCCCUUCAUUAUGAUCAAAUUUUGCUUCGACGAUACAUUCCAGUCUCUCGCACUUAGUCACUUCCAGACUUUUAAGCUGCACCAAACUUCGAGCUUGUGACAACGUGAAGAUAUAUGUCAAAUUGUUGCACUGUGACACUUUUAAUUCUGUAAGAGAUUGGAGGCUGAUCACAUGUUGGGCGGGCGCCUUCCAUAUCCACUUCAGUUCUGGUAAUUCUGACAUAUACAACUUUGCUAAUCUUGAGAGCAUCACAAGAUUCCCACUCUUUCCAUGCGGUGACUUAGAGGCAUCCAUUAUGCAUUCUAAAUCUUCGCAAUAGUCGACAUAAAGAAAAGUCAACUCAUUUAAUCCCCGUUCAUCUAUGCUUGGCACAAUAUUAUGACAACCUGUUACCCCACUUAAAUAAAGAAUUUCCAGAUUUUGAUACAGUGCUGAAAAAAUUCCUAGCGUCGCUUUAGGAUGGUUAUUCGCAAUGAUUAAGCACCUUGUCCCUCUAUCAAUGUCACAUAAAGCGUCUAAGAUCUUUGUCCGUCUAUCAAAGUCAUUUAAAGCGCCAACUUCCAUGAUGCCAUACCUUUGUAAUUUCGGAAAUGAAAAGUCAUUUGGAAGACAUACAACGGAUCCGUCGGGUUGGGAGUCCGACUCAGCACACCUAGCGUAACUUUCUUCUGAACUCAUCCCUUCAACCUCCCAAUUUUUUAUCCAACCAUAAAAUUCUUCUAAUUGAGGAAAUUUAUUUAUCGUAAUGGGAGAAAUGGAGCCAGACAAAGUAUCAACAUACAGAAGUUUCAAUCUACUAAGUUCAUCCCCCAAUCCAUUUGGAAUUUCAAUGGCAGACCGCUGGAGACAGAGAAUUUGAAGUCUCUUCAACUUUCCAAGGAAAGACGCGUCACUCACAUCACAUCGAAUCAACUGCAGAACUCGAAGGUUAUUGGCGAGGAAUUGAAGUGAUUUAACUGAAAGGACUCCACCUAUUAUAGUAACAACUUUCAGUGCUGACAUCUCUUUAAAAAAAUAUUCUGGAACUUGCAAUUUGUUGCCAUCUAGAGUAUUCUCCAAUCGUAAAAUAUGAAGGCUAGGGCAUACCAAACCGCUAGGAAGCUCUACUUUUUCAUUUCCCACCAAAGAGAUUCCUCUAUAUUGUUCUAGGCCUUCUUCCACUGCCCAUUCCGCCAAUCCAAUGCCAACUUUACUAGUAAAAUAUUUCUUCUCCACUUUGCCUAUCCAUAUGGCUACAUCGCGAACUAUGUCAUGCAUUUUCACAAAUCUGUCAUCAUCAGUGUCUAACAGCAAUGAAGAAUCUUUGAGUCCUUUGAUUGUUCCACGCAGUAGGCUUCUGGCUUUUUCGAUUGACUCAGCUUGAUACCAAACCAACCCCACUGCAUAUCCAAGCAAAUCCUCCAAAUCUAUCUUAUAAUCUUCUGGAAACAGCGAACACAACAAGAAGCACGACCUGGAAUCCUCACCAUUCAAAUAAUCAUAACUAAAUUUGAGACAACCGUAAACGCCCCGGGAAUCCUUAUCAAUACCUUCUAUCUUAUCGAGUUUUGCAUUUUGUAGUUUAUCUAGUGCUACAUUCCAUUCAUCAGCGGUUCUUCCUCUUAGUGCACUUCCAACAGCUUUAAUAGCUAAAGGCAGCCCCUUACAUUCAUCAGCAACUUGUUUUGAAACAUCAAUCAAGGUUGUAUCAGCAACAUCAAUGCCAGCAUGCUUUCUUAGUAAAUCCAAUCCUUCAUCUUGCUUUAGAACACCUAGUUGGAUCUGCGUGUCACAACCCAUGCGAUCACAAACUGGCUGCAGGCGAGUGGUUAGAAGGAUUUUGCAACAAUUGUCUCUAUCACCAACGGGAAUACCUACUUUUUCCAAGUCGAUUUGAUUCCAGACAUCAUCAAGAAUUAUGAGCAUCUUGCGGCUCUUACUCUCAGAGAACAUCAUGCGCAAUCGGCGUGCUCUAUCUUUUUCAUAUUUCUCCGUUAAUUCCCAACCCAAAGACUUUACUAGCUCACUUUGAACAUUUAUUAUGUUUUGAUCCUGAGAUACAGUGGCUAUCCCCACCUCAUCGAAAACAUUUUCUUCCCGAAGUUGAUUGCCCACAAAGUUCGCCAAAGUCGUCUUUCCGACACCACCAAUCCCAUACAAUCCCACUAUCUUCGUGUUGUCUCCUUUCAGUGCUUUAAUGAUCUGAUAGCAAGCCGAUUCUGUAGUCCCGAAAGGCAUAAAAUGUCUUGGUAUAGGCAAUUCUUUGUCUGAUGGAAGAGGUUUAGGACGGGCAACUGUGCUGAAUUUGCUGCGGUCUUGUAGCAGAUCGGACAGCUUGCGAGUCUCCUUUGAUGCUUUUCUACCCAUCCAAUAUCGGAAACCCCAAUUAGGACACCAUCCAUUGAAACAACUCUUCUUUUCAUCUAGAUUUGCUUUCAAAGUUCGGACAUCGGCCAUUUCUUUGACUACAUCCGCCAGCCACUUCUCUACAUCUUUCUCAACUACUAUAGCGCAAUGUUUUUGUCGUUCUUCUUCUACUUUUUCGUUGAUGCCAUCUUGUGCCUCCUUCAAAUUAGUUUCUUUAUCCUCAAGUUCUUUAACAAUGCUGUUGAAACAGAACAGAUAGCGAGCUUGUUUUAUGGUAGCAUCCACCAAUAAUUCUCCAAGCUUUGAUGCAACACCUGAUAAAAUUUCCAUGCUAUUUAUCUGCAAUUAACAAAGUUGAUCUCAGUACGCUAUAAGCAAAACAAGGAAGCUAUGAAACAAUAAGAUCUCAUACCUUCUUCGUUAUAUAUCCUCAACUACUGCUGAAAGCUCCAGUUAGAAAGUCGCACAAGUUCAGAGAAAAUUAAAAGCUGCAUCUGGCAAUAUAAAUAAGGACCUGUCUAUGGUACAGAUUCUGUAACAAACAUCUCCCGUCAUCCCACCAUCCGAUUUUCUAUUGUUCAGUUUCUCACUCCACAUCCAACCACAUCCAACGGCUGAUGCUGCAGUCUGUACCUUACAGAUUCUGUAAGCUAGUCGAGUCCUAUAAAUAAACAUCAGAUCCAAACAAACAUAGCAUAUAUCUAGCUAAUUAACAUCAUCUAUAACGCCUUGUUCUCUGUCAAAUCUUUCAUUCUUAGAUUAAAAAAAAAAAAUUGAAAUAAUAACUGUUAAGUGAUAUAGGAAGUAGAAGUAGCGUACCGAAACGAGAGCAGCUAGUUCACGGAUGACAGAUCUGGUGACCUCAAGAGCAUGAAAAAUGAUUGAACUUUGGUAGAAAGGUCUGAAAUGAUAUGUCAGUGAGAAUUGAAAGGUGGAAAGUGAAGUGAUACACAUGCCUUAUCAUCUAUCAUGAGGGGUAAUUUGGUAAAACUGAUUUAAAAUUUAAAAAAAAAAUUUAAUAAGAAGUAUUGUAUCGUGUCCAACUGCUCGUAUUUGGGGUAUCUUUCGGGUUGUUGAGAGGAUGAGUUUAAAUUGUUUAAUUAAAUAUAAGACUUUCACUUUUCUUUUAUAUAUUUUUCUUUAGAAUGAAUUUAAAUCUCAUUCUUAUUAAAUUCAUUCUUUUUAAAUGAAGGUAGAUUUCUCUACACAAAUUUUGGGUAUAUUUUAUAAUUAAUGUUCAACAUAUCUCUAAAUUAUAUUAUAAUAUUUUAUUUAAAAUCUCAAGAGAUUUCAUAACACACAAAAUAUAUUACACAUUUACACUAUUGAGAUUUUAAUUAUAUAUAUAAUAUUAUUUAUCAAUAUUAUAAAAUAUACAUGUCUAUCAAUUUUUACACAUUUACACUAUUAAAUCUCUAAAUAUAUUUAAAAUUUUAUAAAUAAAACAUUGUGUUUAUAUUCACCAUUUUAAAGAAUAAAAAAAAGAAAAUUAUCUCUAAUAUUUGAGUUUUAAUGAUAAGAAUAUGUAAAUUAUUUUAAAAUAGAAAAUAUAAUUGGGUCAUUGAUCGGGUAAAUGGGUUAAGAAUUUUAACCCUAACCAGACACGGAAAAAAAUUGUGUUGACCUAGACCCGACCCAUUUAAUAAUCGUGUUAAAUUUGACGACUCAUACUUAUUUAUUUAUGUCGUAUUCGUGUUAAAUUUUGUCGGCUCUAAUUUAAGAUAUCUUUUAUUUAAUAAUGAAUAUAUAUAUAUAUAUAUAUAUAUAUAUAUUUAAAAAAAAUAAACAAUUUAAGUGAAGGAAAGGACAUUUUGGAGGCGUCUACCGACAUACCAUUUUGGAUUGCAAUAAAGUGAAGGGUCCCGCUAUCUUACAGCUUAUGUCAGUUACAUGGACUUGACUAACUUACAGCAUCUGUAAGCUACAGACUGCAGCAUCAGCCGUUGGAUGUGGUUAGAUGUGGAGUGAGAAACUAAACAAUAAAAAAUCAGAUGGUGGGAUGACGGGAGAUGUUUGUUACAAAAUCUGUACCAUAGACAUGUCCUAGUUACAUUCAUAACAAAUUAAUAAUUAUCUUUAUUAUAAAUUUUUUAUUUAUUUAAAUAUCCGUUCAUUUAUUCAAUCAAGUCCUCGUAUUCUUUUAAUUUAUAAUAAGAUUCUCGCAUGGACCAGAUCUGCAUAUGUGAUAAUUACUGACUGUAUAAGUUAGCGGGACCAUUUUUUAAUUUGAACGGUCAGAUCAUGAUUACACUUACAGAACCACAGAAUAAUGCCAACAACCAAUUGUAAAUUUCCGUGGACACAAAUACCCCCAACUAGUGCUUGCCAAUUAACUAUACAUAUAUAACGUAAUCACAUGUAUAAGAAUUUCGGCCCCUCAUUGCAAUAAAGUUAAGAGUUUUCGAGAUACAAAAAAAUGGGUGAAGGAUGAAGAUGAGAGAAGAAAAGAUAUUAAGAAUAGUUUUUUGCAUUUUUAUGGGUUUUAUAGAGUAAACCCUAUAUUUGCAAUCGCACUCAUGAAAAAAUUUGAAGGAUUUCCAGAUUAUUACCCCCUUUUUUCUUUAAUCAAUAUUUUAAUAAUAUAAUACCAUAAUUGUCAAAUAAUAUCCUAAUAUUUUUUUUCUUCAAGUGUUCAAGAUACUCACCUAUUGGAUAAUUAAUUUAAUCAUUUGUUAAAUUUUUUAUUACUCUAUCCUGCUAUAUAUCCAAUGGAUAUAAAUGGCACCUUAUUUGGGAUGGUAAGUAUUGUGGCAAAUUAAAUAAUUUGUAUAAGGAUAAUUUGAGGUUUGUAUAAUUUAUAUGAAGAUAAUCUGCAAAAUAUGUCAAUUUUAAAAGAGCGAUAUUAGUAAUGAUAAAUUUAUCAAUUUUUUUAAUAAAGAUUUUGUUUAAAAAUUGGCCAACUGGGUUUCAUGAGGAAAAUAGAGGAGCAUGAACGGGGCGCCGCUUUUAAUUUUCAUUGUUGUUGUAAAAAUGAAAUUCAAAAGAUGUAUUAAAUGGAUCAAUUUGAAAUCGCAGGAGAGCAUAAUGGACUCAUGUUCGGACUUGAGAUUGAAAGGCUAAGGGGCCAGACGGCCGGUAGGAAAAUUAAUUUUAUUUUUAAAGUAUGGUCAACAAUAAUGACUUGGAGGUGAUUCCUAUUAAUCAACCAUCUUCGACUUAAGAAUUAAUACAAAUAAAUGGCAAAAAUAAUAUAAUGAAAAUUAAUCAACCAUUGGAAGUAAGACACAUAUCAAAUUAAGAGCUUAUGAAACAAUAAUAUCGCAUACCUUCUUCGUUAUAUAUCCUCAAUCACUGCUGAAAGCUCCAGUUAGAGAGUCGCAAGAGUUCGGAGAAAAUUAAAAACUUCAUCUAGCAAUAUAAAUAAACAUCAGAUCAAAACAACAUCGCAUAUAUCUAGCUAAUUAACAUCAUACAUAAGUUCUUGUUCACUAUCAAAUCUUUCAUUGGCGGGGAAAAAAGGGAUUGAAAUAACACUGUAAGCGAUAUAGGAAGCAAAAGUAACAUACCGAAAUGAGAGCAGCAGCUCACAGAUCUGGUGAUUUCCGAGAGCAUGAAAAAUGAAUGAGCUUUGGUAGCAAGGUCCGAGUAAUGUUUCACAAGUUGCCAUUGACUUGGUGGCUUCACUUUUCUUUUCUUUUCUUUUCUUUUUUAAAUUCUACAUCAGUGAUAAUUGAAAGGUGGAGGGUGAAAAGGUACACAUACCUUAUCAUCUAUGAUGAGGGGACAAUUUGGUAAAACUCAUUUAAAAUAAAAAAAGUAAAAAAAAAUUAAAAAAGAAACUUUGUGUCCGACGGCUUGUAUUUGGGGCAUCUUUCGGGUUGUUGAGAGAAUGAGUUUAAUUAAAUAUAAGAUUUUCAUUUUUUUUAAUUAUAUGUUUCUCUUUAAAAGGAAUUCAAAUAUCAUUCUUAUUAAACUCAUUCUUUUCAAAUGAAAGUAGAUUUCUCUCCACAAAUUUGGGGUACAUUUUAAAAUUAAUGUUCAACAAAUCUCUUGACAAUAUUAAAUAUUUUUAUUUAAAAUCUCAACAAAUUUGAUAACACACAAAGAGAAAUACAUAUAUAUGUUGUAAUAUUCUAAUAAGGAAUCUCCAAUGUUAUCAAGUUAAAAAAUAAAUUAAAAAGAAAAAGAAAAAUACACACUUUAACAUAUUAUAUGAUAAAAUACAAUAUAUUAAAAUGAGUAUUUUACUUAUUUUUUAUUUUAUCUCUUAACUUAAUGGCUUAAGAUAUAUUUUAUUUAAUAAUGAUUAUAUAUAUAUAAUUUUUUUUUAAAAUAAACAAAUUUAAGUGAAGCAAAGGACGUUUUGGACAUGAGCGGACCCAAUUAAGGCCCUGAGCGUUAAUUUUUUUUUAAAUAUAGCCCGUAAAACCCCUUCUAAUUAUUAAGUCCAAUACUAAUAUAUUAAAUAAUUUGGACUUUUCUCAACAAAAACAAAGUAUUUUGGGAUUUUAAAUUAAAUCCAUUUAAAUAAUAAAAACUUUUUAAUUUAAUCAAAUUCUAAUUUAAAACUAACUUACAAAACUCAUCGUUUUAUAUUAAUAAUAAAAAAUUAAAGGAAUAAAAAAACAAACCUCAAAAUCAUGAAACUGUGAAUCACCAAAUUAUAAAGAUUGGCCACCGCCACCGACAAACGUUUCCAUUCCUGCUGCUGCUAGUCUGCCACCAACUCGUUGUUAUCUGUCGCCGCGAUCGCUGAGCCUUUCAUGAUUUCGUCCCUUGCUAGAUCAGCCAUGGCCCAUAGAUUGAAACAGGUAUUGUGCUUGAAUGUUGUUUUGAAGUUUGACUAAUGAUUUUGGCCGAAUGAAUGUGCUGCAUCUCUCUAACUUCGUUCAUCAAUUCUUAUUCUGAUAGCUAUAUACAAAAUUCCAAAAGUAAAAGUUAAUUUGUGAAAAGUGAGCAAUUCUUUAAUAUUAAAAUUGAAAGGGAAAGUGGUGGGAUAGUGGGUGCUCUGUGAAAUGAUGAAAGUGGUGUAUAAUUUAUUAUAUAAAUUAUAAAAGCAAUCACUUUGUUAAUGCCAAAUAAAUGAGCAAUUGAAAAAGUAAAAUUUGCAAUCAUGUAUCUUUCCCGUGAGCCCCAUUGAGUGUGUUGUCAAAUAAUAUUUUUAUAAUAUUAAAUUUGUAUUAAAUUAAUUAUUAUUGUUCGUUAUUUUGUUAGGAUUUAGCCUUAUUGUGAAAUUUAAUCUAAUAAUUGAUAAUUUUAUUUGAUUUGAAACAGAUAUGUAAAUUUUUUUAAAAAAGAAACCACAACUCCCAUCUCCUUUAGAGGGAACUAGUGAUGGUUCAUAUGAAGUCAAUUUAUAAAAUUUGCCUGCUGACCUUGGCUUACGACCUUGUAUUGAUAGUUAUAAUUAUAAUAUUUGAGAUCAAGUUCGAAGAACAUACUUACAAAGGGGUCCUUUUCAACCUAAGGGGCACAAUUUUAAAUUUGAGAAAUUUGGAAAUCAACAAUGACGAUUUGUUUCGGAUUGGUUCAAAGAAUUUGGUUCUUGGCUGGAAUAUAGUAUAAAAGAAGAGUCUUCAUAUUGUCUUUUUUGUUAUCUUUUCAAAGAAGAUAAUGGUGAUCAAGCAAGCAGUGAUACUUUUGCUGGGAAAGGAUUUAAAAAUUGGAAAAAAAAAAGAAAAAUUAAAGAUUCACGAAGGAGGUGUCAAUAGUGCCCAUAAUCGAGCUAGGCAGAAAUGUGAAAGGUUGAUGAAUCAGAAACAACAUAUUGCCACAUUUUUUGAAAGACAAUCCGAGAAAACUCAAAGUGAAUAUGAAACUCGCUUGAAUGCUAUUGUUGAUUGUAUUCGAUUUCUUUUAAAUCAAGGGCUAGCAUUUCGUGGACAUGAUGAGUCUGAUGGUUCAAGCAACAGAGGGAAUUUUCUUGAGCUUUUACACUUCAUUGCUGAUCAUAAUGAAGAUAUUAAUGCUGUUACUUUAAAAAAUACUCCUCUAAAUCUGCAAAUGACAUCUCCAAAGAUCCAAAAAGACAUUGUAAGUUGUGUUGCAACUGAAACUACUAAUGCUAUUAUUAGAGAAAUGGACGGUGCAUUAUUUUCUGUUCUAAUUGAUGAGUCUCGUGAUAUAUCUACAAAAGAGCAAAUGGUUGUUGUAUUACGUUAUGUGGAUAAGAAUGGAUAUGUGGUUGAACGUUUUGUAGGCAUUGAACAUGUUUCUAGCACUACAGCUACCUCACUUAAAGAAAUCUUGAUAAUAUGUUUUCAAGGUUUGGAUUGAAUUUGUCAAUGUUACGUGGGCAAGGUUAUGAUGGGGCAAGUAAUAUGCAGGGUGAGUUUAAUGGUUUGAAAACGCUCAUUUUAGAGGAGAAUGAAACUGCUUAUUAAGUUCACUGCUUUGCUCAUCAACUUCAGUUGGCUCUUAUUUCCGUGGCAAAAAAGCAUGAGGAAGUUAAUUCUUUAUUCAAUUUAGUUUCAAUACUAGUUAAUGUUGUUGGAGUGUCAGCUAAAUGUCGUGACAUUCUACAUGAGAAACAUGCUCUUGCAGUUAUUGAAGCAUUAGGUAAAGGCGAGCUUUCAAGUGGACAAGGUUUGAAUCAGGAGAUUACUUUAAAGCGUCCUGCUGAUACACACUAGUCUUCUCAUUAUGGUACGUUAAUGAGCAUAAUUUCUAUGUUUCCAUAUGUGGUUGAUGUGCUUGAGAUAAUUGAAGUUGAAGGAAAUUCUAAACAAAGAUUUCAAGCUAAAACGCUAUUGAAGUUGAUGCAAUCCUUUGAUUUCGUAUUUUGUUUAUUCUUAAUGAAAAAUAUUCUUGGUUAUGCAAAUGAGUAGUCACGGGCACUACAAAGGAAAGAUCAAGAUAUUUUGAAUGCUGUAAAAUUGGUUGAAGUUUAUAAGCAUAACCUUCAGAAGUUGAGAGAUAGUGGAUGAGAUUCUUUAUUUGGUCACGUUUCUACUUUCUGUAGCAAGUAUGAUAUCGAUGUAUUAGAUAUGGAUGAUUUGUUUUUAAUUCCAGGGCGAUCACACCGUAAAGCUCGAGAGAUCACAAAUUUACAUCGGUAUUGAGUUGAGUUAUUUUAUGAUGUCUUAGACAUGCAACUUCAAGAGCUAAAUAAUCGUUUCAAUGAGUCAAAUACUGAGUUGUUUAUUUGUUUGGCUUGUCUAUGUCCAAAUGAUUUGUUUGCAGCUUUUGACAAGGAAAAAUUACUACGACUUGCUGAAUUUUAUCCUACAGAUUUUUUUGCAAUAGAUCUUAUAGUAUUUGAGAUGCAACUUGAUGUAUACAUUACAGAUUUACGAUCUAGUGCAGAAUUUUCAGAAUUGAAAGGAAUUGGUGAACUUGCAAGGACAACGGUUAAGACUAAAAAGGACAAGGUGUACCCGUUAGUUUACUAAUUGGUUACAUUGGCUUUAAUUCUACCUGUAGCUACUGCCACGGUAGAAAGAGUAUUUUCAGCCAUGAAUUUUGUGAAGAAUCGACUUCGAAACUGGAUGGGUGAUCAAUGGCUGAAUGAUAACUUAGUUGUAUACAUAGAAAAAGAUGUAUUUACUUGUAUUGACAAAGAAAAUAUUAUUCGACGUUUUCAAAAUAUGAAAACACGUCAAGAAUAGUUGAAGAAGUUUUAAAAAUAAUUAUGUCAAUAAAAUUAAAUAUUUUACUUAUUAUUUUUUCAGUUAGCUUUUAUUAUCUUAUCGAUUUUUUUUUAUCAAUUUAUAUUAAGGCCCUUCAAUUUAUUUCCCGGAUCCGCCGCUGGUUUUGGAGGCUUUACUAGACUACCAAUUUACCAUUUUGAAUUGCAAUAAAGUGAAAACAAUAGACUGCCAAUCUACUAUUUUGGAUUGCAAUAAAGUGAAAAUGGGUUACUUUCAAAAAAGAGAAGGUGACAGUGAGUUCUCAGUUUCCAAUUCAUCAACUUUUUGCUGGAUUAUUGUCACCGUCAAAAGUAAAUUAUUGAAUCACAAGCAAAAAGCAAUCUGUCUUCUUCUUGAUUUCGUAAUUUGGCUGUCAAAAUGCAGUCUAUCAAGAUUAUGAUUCCUCAACUCAAAAUAAUGUUUUUUUCUGAUGAAAUGAAUGAAAAUUAAACUUACAAUCUGUCACGAACACGCCAUUCAAUUAACCGUUUAUUUCCCCUUAAAUUUUUAAUCUCAAUGAAACGUAGAUCUAAUGGGAACUACACAUAUAUAAAAACUAGAAAAUAGAAUCGCGUUUCACGCGGCUUUGAAAAAAUAAUUUAGUAUUAUUUUUUUUUACUUUACACUUGAUGAAACUGAUAAAAAAAUAUGAAUUGAUUUUUUUUUAAGAUGAGGCAACCUUAUAAAAAACAAAAAAAGCUAUUAGCCAGCAAUACAAAUAAAGAAGCAACGCAAGAUAAAGAAUAAAAUGAGAGAAUAUAUUAUAAAGUGAUUUUAUUCAUUCCAAUUGUGUGUGUACAAAACAAAAAGAUGAGUUCUUCUUUUAUAGUUACAUAAUCACUCCAUGAAAUUAAUGAAAAAUUAUGGAUCAUAAUUCCUUGUGAGAUAGUGGGAGUUAUAGGGAAGCUAAAUGUUGCUAAUGGGAAAUAGUGGGGAGACUAAGAGAUAUAUGUUAUGAACAUCUACAUUUAUUUUAAUAAAUUUAUAACACUCCUCAUUGGAUGUUCAUUACAAAGAAUAUGCCUUAUUAAAAUAUUUACAUAAUUGUUAUUGAGUAAUAACAAUAAAAUUAAUUAUGAGAAGAUGAAAAGCCAAAUCUAAAAGAAAAUUUCUCUAUUUAUUAGAUAAUAGAGAAUAUACAAAGAUAAAAAAUGGUGAUGUCACAUCACCUCCUCAAGUCCCAACUUUAUAUAGAUAUAUAGAUACUAUAGAUUGAAGAAGAUGAAUUUUUCUUGUGCGCAAGUAUUUUUAGUUAAUACGAAAGAAUUCUAGCAAGUUAAUACAAAGGUAUCAUAAAUUUAUAGUAGUAAGAGAUUUUUUUCCUUUGAUAUUAAGAGUUCUCAAUAUACAAAAAAAAUGGGUGAAGGAAGAAGAUGAGACAAGAAAAAAUACGAAGAGUUUUGGCAUUUUGAUGGGUUUUAUAGAGUCAAACAUAUAUUUACAAAUUUGAUAAUUUUUAAUGGGGUGUUAUGAAAAUAUUGGUGUUUAAAGUAUAUUUUAAAUUAAUGAUAAAAUUUUCACUUGUAAGAAAAAAAAAUAAAAGGCUUGGCUUAGUUCAAAAUUUUUUUUAUUAAUCGUCUAAUCGCUAAUCUAGUCUACUUUUUUUAUGAGAUUCUUUGGCAUUGUAAUUUAGUCCAUUAUUAGCAAUCUUAUUAGUUGUUACGUGUGUCUUAUCUUUAUUAUGCUCCCCAAACAAAUAUGUUUCAACCCUGAAUAAAAUCUGCGGAAAACGGUAAUUGACAUUUUUUAUUAUAUUGUUUUUGAUAAGUCAUUUUUUGUUUUGGCAAAAUAACAAAAUAAAACACGUGUUUGCUAGAUCAUUUUUCUGACAUGCUCUAGCAUUUGGUGAAAAUAAAUUGCAUACUUUUAAUGAAGAAAAGUAAAGAUCAACAAAAUACUUUGUAGUUUUCGACAACUUUUGCGUUGUGAAGUGCACCUAUUUUUUUUUUUUUGGAGUUGUUUAAUUUGUAUUAUAAUGAAUUAUCAUGGUCUCACGUGCCACUCUUUCCAUUCGAAAUUUCAUAAUUUAACAAUAGGGAUAGGUUACACAAAUAAUUUAUUUUAUAAUUUUUUUCAAAAAUUACUAAAAUGUAAUAAAUAAGAUAAUAAUAAUUAUUAAUAAGAAAGUAAAUUUAAGAUAAAAAAAAUAUUUCUUCGUACUAAAUAAAAAGAUAAUAAGAAUGGGAUGCUUUUGGCUUAUAUUCUCAUAGCUAUUUAUAGUGAAAAAUUACAUUAAAUUUAAUUAAUAAAUCAAUGAACUGCAGGCUUAUUAGAUUUAAGUUAUUUUAAUAAGCUAUAAAUAUACUAAAUGAAAAUAGUUGUGUUUGGGAUGUUUGAUGUCCCGACCAAAUAUAUCCGAGCAGGGGUCGCUUCUUUGGUGACGAGGAGCUGUCUGGUAUCCAUGUGCAGGAGCUACUUGCUCGUAGGCGGGGAGCUAUAUGGUGCAGUUGUUGGACAAAAUACGAGGAGAUAUCAACACGUGCAUUCUUUCCAGAGAUUCCAAACACAAAACCUACUUAGCAAUGGUUAUAACGCUAAUACACUCAUGAUGAAACACUUGACAUAGUGAUGAACGCGGGGUAGUGGAGACAGAACGCCCAAACAAGUUAUAAAAGGGACAUUUAAUGAUGGUAAAGGAGUUGGAGACUCGGACAUUGAACUUAUCUAUAUAACAAUUCACUUUGACAUUCUGUUUUUUACUCUCUUUGAUAAGUCUCUUACAUUAACGGGAUAAAAAUUAAAACAAAGCCACGAAUCAGUGGCAUAGUUUUUCCUAAAUAAGUCCAGAUUACUGAUUUGAGCAUUGGAGGAUUUACGUUAGAAAAACUACCGGCGUCCCCUGACUGGCUGUUGUGUGUGCAAGGGUUUGCCAAGUUUAGUUCUCUAAAUUGCUCAUCAGGGAAAGAAGCACCUCGAGAUCAUUCCCUACCAACUACAAAUUCAAGUGUUUGAGGAGAAAUCCUAAUCUUGAACAAGCCCACCAAAAUCGUGCAUCAACAAGCAGUAAACCCAUUGUUACACAAUACUCUCCAUUGAAUGUUCACCACUUUCAUAUGGUCAUAAAAUAACUCUCAUUAAAAGCCGUCACCAAUAAAAACUCAGAUGAGAAAAGCUAGUCAUAGAAAAAAGGAGUGUAGAGCACAUGUAUCCACUUUUUAUAGUUCUUCUCUUAGAUAUUUAUGCUCCCCCUGGUAGAAUACUUCCCAUCAAAUAGACAAACAUCAAUUUGGUAAUCUAUUGAGUUGACACAUGCCAAUACUAUAGACUACCUGAUAAUCUACUGAGGUGACACAUGCCAAUACUAUAAACUAGUUUUUUCUAGGUUGAAGUGGGUAAACCUUUAGUAAAAAGACCGCUAAAUUAUUAGUGGAAUAUAUCUAUUUAACAUCAAUUUUCUCUCUUUGCUGGAGCUCAUGAGUGUAAAAAUUCGUAAAAGAACUUUGGUGAGAUGUGUUUGGUUUUAUCUCCUUUUAUAUAUCCUCCUCUAACUUGUGUAAUACAAACAACAUUGUCUUCUAAUAUUAUUGUUGGAAUGUCUGUAACACAAGUUGAUGAAGUAUACCUGUGCGACUGCACCAAUUCGGGGUAAAAGAGCUGAUGCGGCCACUGCAUCCAAAGCUACACGUAAAUAGUCUUUUGAUAAUUUCCCAUUACGAUCUUUUGGCACAAUUUCUAGAGCUGCAGUCCUUGUCUGUAUUUUGAGAUGAAGUUCAGUAAGCUUUUCCAUAAUAAUGCUGCACUCCAAAAUAUGACACAAAAGCAUGUUUUAAACAGGACACACCUUGUCUAAUUCAAACUUGUUUGACAAGAGUCUCUUAAUGCCACUUCCAUCAAAAAUAUUUUCACUAUGGGCAACAAUCACAGGCUGCUCUUUUAGCGGUUGUGCCACACAAUCGGCUAGUUGAUGUAGAGCAACAGGACCACCCUGGUACUUUAUCCCUGCUCUGCUUUUUGGCCAUGACUAUGAUGCUUUAAUUUACUGCUUCCACAUUUAUCGUGCGCCUAAAAGGAAAUAAUAUUCCAACAUCACAUACUUUUUGGUUCCAACAUAUAAAAAAUAAUAUGUGCUGAGCUGGGCCGAACACUAGAAGAUUAGGUACAAGAUUAUCACUUGUUCAGCAAGCAAAGUCAUGAGGCUUCACUUAAACCUUCAUUGCAAAUUAUUAAAAAGCAAAUUCACUUUGGUCCCCAUUUACAUUAUUUCUUGAACAACAAUAAAGUUCCAAAGAGACAAGCAGUAAGUUCCACAACAUUCGUCACUAGAUUCCUCCUUAACUAUGGAGAUAUAUACAAAGCAAGAACAUUGAAAAAGUCAAUAAGAAAAGAAAUAAAGAAAAGGCUAGCAAAUUAAAAGUUAUAAAGUCGCAAUACACCGACCAAAAUUGAAUAAUAGGUUGGAUAAUUAUGGAGCUAACUACGCAGAAAAUGGAAACAUUAGACAGCUUAUAUGUUAACGUAAUUGAGUAGCCGACCUUCUACAAUUAUCUUCUAUUGAAAUUAAGAUCACCAAAAUGUUAUAUCAAGAUUAGACUGUGCAGUACCCACCAACCAGGAAGAGAUUGCACCGCCUUCUUUUCAAUUCAUAAAUUUUCUUCAAAUUGAAAAACAUGAAUGACAUAAGAGGACAGUCAAAUAACAAUCUGAUGAUGACACAAUUUUUGCUCAUUUAUCAUCAUUGAAAGAUAAGUUUAAUUGACCUUACUAGAAAAAAGAAAAAAAUUGAAACGUAAGGGAGAGCACAAAAGUCUUCACCACUUAUGUAACAUCUUUAUCUUAUUCUCGCUAGCUUUGGAGCUUGCAACCAAAAAAAUGAUAUUUUCUAUUUUUUUUUUUUUUUUCUAACUUGUUCUUUGGAUACGAUAUCACUAACUUACAAUUAGGGGAGAAUUUUUUUUUUUUAAAAAAUCAAACUCAAGGAACAGAUCAGAUCAGUUGUAAAUAGUAACUAUGAGACUAUUGCUUUAAAAAAAAAAGAUUAAUUGUAUUCUUAUGAUUGAAAUAGGGUUGUGUAAUGAAAUCACAGGCUUGACGUAUAAGUAAUAUAGGCUCGUUCAAUUAAACAGAAAAGAAACUGACUACAAGUAGUAGUAUUAUUGGUGUGCUAAGAAUAACCAUUACGGAAAUAAAAUUACGGAAAUAAAAUCACUAGCUGUCAAAUAAAAAUAAAAAUAACUAUUCCUAUAACAGGUGUCGGAUGAAAUCACUGCCCCUUGAAUAUAAAUUAAAAAAAAGACUUAUGCAGUAAUCAAAUUAUUGUACUUUUAAAAAUUAAAUUAGCAGUUAAAGCAUCAUAGGUACGGUAAGAAUAUAAAAAAAAUGAAAUGGGGUUCGCGUAGAAAUGAACCUCGGAGUAGAUGUGAUCAGAGUCAGGAGAAGAGCCCUGAGCAGGCAAGCCAAGAGCAGCACCAAUAUCAGCAACAGCAGGCUGAAGCUCCUUCACAGAGAGCUGACCAUCUCUGUCUCUGUCAAGUUCUUGGAACUUAUGAUCAACAAAGCUGCUAAACACCUCCUCAUUUCCAACCAACUUCAUUAUAUUUGAACCGUCCAGCACUUGCUGCUGCUGCUUCAUCGAGCUUGUACUUUCAGCUGUCUCCAUUAAUCUUCUUGUGAUGAUUCUCGUGAAGCUGGGGUUUUAGGUUUGUGGAUUUGCUUUUGCCUUUGCCUUUUGUUUUGUUGAGAGUCUCGUGAAUCACAAGAGUUGCCUUUGGUAUUGGGCGAGUCCCUCCCGUUGCCUUCUUCUUCCCCGGCGUCUAAUUAACUCUUUUGGCUCACUUU